CGUGUCGAGGUCGAGAUGCCCAUUAGUUCCCAUGGGUGUCUUGAUGGGCUUUGCAUCCUUCAUCCGACUAUAGAAGAGUGAAAUGCUUUAUCAAAGGAAAUAAGAAAAAAGAAAGGGUAUGUUGCUACUCUUUUGAAAGAAAAAAGAAUAGGAGUUCCCGAAGUAAUGUCUAAACCCAAGGAUUUCACAAAUCAAAGAUAAAGGAUUCCGGAACAAGUAAACACGAUUUUCAACUGUCUCAACAAUAGAAUUAGAUCUGAAUAAGGAAUAAAAGUCAAUUUGUUCGAGAUGAGAUAAAGAAAAGAGUUUAGAGACGACUCAAAAAAUUUCGAAGGGUUUUUCUUUUGAAACUUUGUAAGUAUGUCUUGAAUGUACUUCGUUUGGCUAAUGAAGGUGCCCUCUUGGAGUUGCUUCACUUGAAAUCCUAAGAAAUACUUCAACUCCCCCAUCAUAGACAUCUCGAAUUUUUGAGUCAUGAUCCUACUAAAGUCUUCACAUGUAGAUUCGUUAGUAGACCCAAAUAUGAUAUCAUCAACAUAAAUUUGGCAUACAAACAAAUCAUUUGCAAGUGUUUUAGUAAAGAGAGUAGGAUCGACUUUUCCGACUUUGAAGCCAUUAGCGAUAAGAAAAUCUCUUAGGCAUUCAUACCAUGCUCUUGGGGCUUGCUUGAGUCCAUAAAGCGCCUUAGAGAGUUUAUAAACAUGGUUAGGGUACUCACUAUCUUCAAAGCCGGGAGGUUGCUCAACAUAGACCUCCUCCUUGAUUGGUCCAUUGAGGAAGGCACUUUUCACGUCCAUUUGAUAAAGCUUAAAGCCAUGGUAAGUAGCAUAGGCAAGUAAUAUACGAAUUGACUCAAGCCUAGCUACGGGUGCAUAGGUUUCACCGAAAUCCAAACCUUCGACUUGUGAAUAUCCCUUGGCCACAAGUCGGGCUUUGUUCCUUGUGACCACACCAUGCUCAUCUUGCUUGUUGCGGAAGACCCACUUGGUUCCUACAACAUUUUGGUUAGGACGUGGAACUAAAUGCCAUACCUCAUUCCUUGUGAAGUUGUUGAGCUCCUCUUGCAUUGCCAGCACCCAAUCCGAAUCUUGAAGUGCUUCCUCUACCCUGUGUGGCUCAAUAGAGGAAACAAAGGAGUAAUGUUCACAAAAAUGAGCAACACGAGAUCGAGUGGUUACCCCCUUAUGAAUGUCACCGAGGAUGGUGUUCACGGGGUGAUCUCGUUGGAUUGCUUGGUGGACUCUUGGGUGUGGCGGUCUUGGACCCUCAUCAUCUUCCUUGUCUUGAUCAUUAGCAUCUCCCCCUUGAUCAUUGUCCUCCUCUUGAGGUGGCUCCUCUUGAUCUUCAUCAUCAUCUUGAGUUGGUGGAGAUGCUUGCAUUGAGGAAGAUGGUUGAUCUUGUGCAUGUGGAGGAUCUUCGAAUUCCUUAGGACACACAUCCCCAAUGGACAUGUUCCUUAGCGCGAUGCAUGGAGCCUCUUCAUCAUCUAGCUCAUCAAGAUCAACUUGCUCUACUUGAGGGCCGUUAGUCUCAUCAAACACAAUGUCACAAGAAACUUUAACUAGUCCAAUGGACUUGUUAAAGACUCUAUAUGCCCUUGUGUUUGAAUCAUAACCUAGUAAAAAGCCUUCUACAGCCUUAGGAGCAAAUUUAGAUUUUCUACCUCUUUUAACAAGAAUAAAGCAUUUGCUACCAAACAUUAGGCUUUUUACCGGUUAGGAGUUCAUAAGAUGUCUUCCUGAGGAUUCGGUGAAGAUAUAACCGGUUGAUGGCGUAGCAAGCGGUGUUGACCGCCUCAGCCCAAAACCGAUCUGAAGUCUUGUAUUCAUCAAGCAUGGUCCUUGCCAUGUCCAAUAGAGUUCUAUUCUUCCUCUCCACUACACCAUUUUGUUGUGGCGUGUAGGGAGAAGAGAACUCAUGCUUGGUGCCCUCCUCCUCAAGGAAGCCUUUGAUUUGAGAGUUCUUGAACUCCGUCCCGUUGUCGCUUCUAAUCUUUUUGAUCCUUGAGCCGAACUCAUUUUGAGUCCGUCUUAAGAAUCCCUUUAAUGUCUCUUGGGUUUGUGAUUUUUCCUGCAAAAAGAACACCCAAGUGAAGCGAGAAUAAUCAUCCACAAUUACAAGACAAUACUUACUCCCACCGAUGCUUAUGUAAGCUAUCGGGCCGAAUAGGUCCAUGUGGAGUAGCUCAAGCGGCCUGUCGGUCGUCAUGAUGUUCUUGUGUGGAUGAUGAACACCAACUUGCUUUCCUGCUUGACAUGCGCUACAAACCCUGUCUUUCUCAAAAUGAACAUUGGUUAGUCCCAAAAUGUGUUCUCCCUUUAGAAGCUUAUGAAGAUUCUUCAUCCCAACAUGAGCUAGUCGGCGGUGCCAGAGCCAACCCAUGUUAGUCUUAGCAAUUAAGCAAGUGUCGAGUUCAGCUCUAUCAAAAUCUACUAAGUAUAGCUGACCCUCUAAUACUCCCUUAAAUGCUACUGAAUCAUCACUUCUUCUAAAGACAGUAACACCUAUACCCGUAAAAAGAUAGUUGUAGCCCAUUUUGCAUAAUUGAGAAACAGAAAGCAAAUUGUAAUCUAAAGAAUCUACAAGAAAAACAUUGGAAAUAGAGUGGUCAGGAGAUAUAGCAAUUUUACCCAAUCCUUUGACCAAACCUUGAUUUCCAUCCCCGAACGUGAUAGUUCAUUGGGGAUCUUGGUUUUUCUCGUAGGAGGAGAACAUCUUCUUCUCCCCUGUCAUGUGGUUUGUGCACCCGCUAUCGAUGAUCCAACUUGAACCCCCGGAUGCAUAAACCUACAAAACAAUUUUAGGCCUUGUUCUUAGGUACCCAAACGGUCUUGGGUCCUUUGACAUUAGAAACAAGCACCUUGGGUACCCAAACACAAGUCUUUGACCCCUUGUGUUUGCCCCCAACAUAUUUGGCAACUACUUUGCCUGAUUUGUUAGUUAGCACAUACGAAGCAUCAAAAGUCUUAAAUGAAAUGUUAUGUUCAUUUGAUGCAAUAGGAGUUUUCUUCUUAGGCAAUUUAGCACGAGUUGAUUGCCUAGAACUAGAUGCCUCACUCUUAUACAUAAAAGCAUGAUUAGAGCCAGAGUGAGACUUCCUAGAAUGAAUUCUCCUAAUUUUGUGCUCGGGAUAACCGAAAGGGUACAAAAUGUAACCCUCGUUAUCCUGAGGCAUGGGAGUCUUGCCCUUAACAAAGUUAGAUAAUCUUUUAGGAGGGGCAUUGAGUUUGACAUUGCCUCCCUGUUGGAAGCCAAUACCAUCCUUAAUGCCAGGGCGUCUCCCACUAUAGAGCAUACUACGAGCAAAUUUAAAUUUUUCAUUUUCUAACUCAUGCUCGGCAAUUUUAGCGUCUAAUUUUGCUAUAUGAUCAUUUUGUUGUUUAAUCAUAACAAUGUGAUCAUGAAUAGCAUCAAUGUUAACAUCUCUACAUCUAGUGCAAAUAGUAACAUGCUCAACGGUAGAUGUAGAGGGUUUGCAAGAAUUUAGUUCAACAAUCUUAGUAUGUAAAAUGUCAUUCUCAUCUCUAAGAUUGGAAAUAGAAACAUUGCAAACAUCUAAUUCCCUAGCCUUAGCAAUUAAUUUUUCAUUCUCAUUUCUAAGGCUAGCAAGAGAGGCAUUCGAUUUUUCAAUCUUAGCAAUUGAACUAACAUUGUCAUUUCUAAGAUUGUCAAAUGAAUCAUCACAAAUAUUUGACUUUUCAACCUUAGCAAUUAGUUUGGCAUUUUCAUUUCUAAGGUUGGAAAUAAUAUCAUGGCAAGUGCUUAGCUCACUAGACAAUUUUUCACAUUUUUCUACUUCCAGAGCAUAAGCAUUUUUAGUCUUAACAUAUUUUUGUUUUCCUUAAUAAGGAAGUCCUCUUGGCUAUCCAAGAGUUCAUCCUUCUCAUGAAUAGCACUAAUCAAUUCAUUUAAUUUCUCCUUUUGUUGCAUGUUAAGAUUGGCAAAAAGCGUCAAUAAAUCAUCCUCAUCAUCACUAGAGCUAGCCUCAUCACUUGAUGUUGCAUACUUAGUGGAGGAUCUAGAUUUUACCUUCUUCUUCUUGCCGUCCUUUGCCAUGAGGCACUUGUGGCCGAUGUUGGGGAAGAGGAGGCCUUUGGUGACGGCGAUGUUUGCGGCGUCCUCGUCGGAGGAGGAGUCGGUGUAGCUCUCGUCGGAGUCCCACUCCCGACAAACAUGGGCAUCGCCGCCCUUCUUCUUGUAGUACCUCUUCUUUUCUCUCCUCUUUCCCUUCUUGUCGUUAUCCCUGUCACUAUCACUAGACAAAGGGCAUUUAGUGAUAAAAUGACUGGUCUUACCACAUUUGUAGCAAACUUUCUUGGAGCGGGACUUGUGGUCUUUCCCCCUCCUUUGCUUAAGGAUUUGGCGAAAGCUCUUGAUGAUGAGCGUCAUCUCCUCAUUGUCGAGCUUGGAGGCGUCGAUGGGGACCCUACUAGGUGUAGAGUCUUCUUUCUUCUCCUCUGUUGCUUUGAAGGCGAUGGGUUGCACCUCGGGUGUUGAGGUGGCGCCUUGCUCGAUGAUCUUCUUGGAGCCUUUGAUCAUCAAUUCAAAGCUCACAAAUUUUCCUAUAACUUCCUCGGGGGACAUUAGCUUAUAUCUUGGAUCACCACGAAUUAAUUGUACUUGAGUAGGAUUAAGAAAUACAAGUGAUCUUAGAAUAACCUUGACCAUUUCAUGGUCAUCCCACUUGGAGCUCCCGAGGUUGCGCACUUGGUUUACCAAGGUUUUUAGCCGGUUGUACAUGGCUUGAGGAUCUUCUCAUUGGUUGAGCAUAAAGCGACUGAGCUCCCCCUCGAUCGUUUCCCGCUUGGUGAUUUUGGUCACCUCAUCUCCUUCGUGCGCGGUCUAGAGUACAUCCCAAAUCUCUUUGGCGCUCUUCAACCCUUGCACUUUAUUAUACUCCUCUCGACUUAGAGAGGUGAGGAGUAUAGUAGUCGCUUGAGAGUUGAAGUGCUCGAUUUGGGCCACCUUGUCCUCAUCAUAAUCUUCAUCCCCUACGGAUGGUACCUGUACUCCAAACUCAACAACAUCCCAUAUGCUUUUGUGGUUUGAGGUUAGGUGAUAUCUCAUCAUAUCACUCCACCUAGAAUAAUCUUCACCGUCAAACGUCGGUGGUUUGCCUAAUGGGACCGAAAGUAAUGGAGUAUGUCUAACAAUGCGAGAGUAGCGUAGGGGGAUCUUACUAUACUUCUUGCGCUCUUGACGCUUAGAAGUGAUGGAUGGCAUGUCGGAGCUGGAGGUGGAUGGCGAUGAAGAGUCGGUCUCGUAGUAGACCACUUUCUUCAUCUUCUUUUUCUUUUCGCCGCUCUGACGCGACUUGUUGUGUGAAGGGGAUCCCUUCACCUUGUUGCCGGACUCCCCGGAUGGAGCCUUCCCAUGGCUUGUGGCGGUCUUCUCACCGGUCAUCAUCUCCUUCUUGGCGUGAUCUCCCGACAUCACUUUGAGCGGUUAGGCUCUAAUGAAGUACCGGGUUCUGAUACCAAUUGAAAGUCGCCUAGAGGGGGGUGAAUAGGGCGAAUCUGAAAUUUAGAAACUUUAAGCACAACUACAAGUCGGGGUUAGCGUUAGAAAUAUAAACGAGUCCGAAAGAUAGGGCGAAAACAAAUCACAAGCGAAUAAGAGCGGAUGACACGGUGAUUUGUUUUACCGAGGUUCGGUUCUUGCAAACCUACUCCCCGUUGAGGUGGUCACAAAGACCGGGUCUCUUUCAACCCUUUCCCUCUCUCAAAUGGUCACUUAGACCGAGUGAGCUUCUUUUCUCAAUAAAACGGGACACUAAGUCCCCACAAGGACCACCACACAAUUGGUGUCUCUUGCCUUGGUUACAAUUGAGUUGGAAUCAAGAAAGAAUGAAGAAGAAAAGCAAUCCAAGCGCAAGAGCUCAAAUGAACACAAGUAUCUCUCUCUCACUAGUCACUAUUUGAUUGGAAUUGUCUUUGGACUUGGGAGAGGAUUUGAUCUCUUUGGUUGUGUCUUGUAUUGAAUGCUAUAGCUCUUGUAUGAGGUGGAAGGCUGAAAACUUGGAUGCCAUGAAUGGUGGGUGGUUGGGGUUAUUUAUAGCCCCAACCACCAAAGGAGCCGUUGGUGGAGGCUGCUGUCGCAUGGCGCACCGGACAGUCCGGUGCGCCAGCCACGUCACCCGACCGUUAGGGUUAGACCAUUGGAGCUUCUGUCUUCUGGGCCACCGGACAGUCACUGUUCACCGUCCGGUGCGCCUUCUGCUCUGCUCUGACUUCUGCGCGAACUGUAGCACAUUAACUGCUCUCUGCAGACGACCGUUGGCGCGAAGUAGUCGUUGCUCCGCUGGCACACCAGACAGUCCGGUGAAUUAUAGCAGAGCGGCUCCCAGAAUUCCCGAAGGUGAGCAGUUUAGAGUUGGGUUCCCUGGUGCACCGGACACUGUCCAGUGGUGCAUCGGACACUGUCCGGUGGCACACCGGACAGUCCGGUGCGCCAGACCAGGGCACACUUUGGUAGUAUUUUGCUCUCUUUGUUUGAACCCUUUCUUGGUCUUUUUAUUGGUUUAUUGUGAACCUUUGGCACCUGUAAAACUUAUAGUCUAGAGCAAACUAGUUAGUCCAAUUAUUUGUGUUGGGCAAUUCAACCACCAAAAUCAAUUAGGAAAAGGUGUAAGCCUAUUUCCCUUUCAAGAAGCAUGUUAAAGUUAAAAAUGCUUAUGCUCAGGAAGUAGAGAAGUGUGAAAAAUUAACUAGUGAGCUAAGCACUUGCCAUGAUAUCAUUUUCAACCUUAGAGAUGAGAAUGCUAAAUUGAUUGCUAAGGUUGAGAAAUUAAAUGAUUGUGAUGAUUCUCUUGUCAAACUUAAAAAUGAUAAUGCUAAUUUAAUUGCUAAGAUUGACAAGUUGAAUGAAUCAAUUGCUAGCCUUAAAAUAGAAAAUGAAAAAUUGAUUAUUAAGGCUAAAAAUUUAAAUCUUUGCAAUGAUAUUGUUUCCAAUCUUAGAAAUGAAGACGUCGUGUUACAUGCUAAGAUUGAUGAAUUAAAUGUUUGCAAACCCUCUACAUCUACCGUUAGUCAUGUCUCUAUUUGCACUAGAUGUAGAUAUGUUAAUGUUGAUGCUAUCCAUGAUCACAUUGCUAUGAUUAAACAACAAAAUGAUCAUAUAGCAAAAUUAGAUGCUAAAAUUGCCGAGCAUGAAUUAGAAAAUGAGAAAUUUAAAUUUGCUCAUAGUAUGCUUUAUAGUGGGAGACGCCCAGACAUUAAGGAUGGCAUUGGCUUCCAAAAGGGAGACAAUGUCAAGCUUAAUGCCCCCAAGAAAUUGUCCAACUUUGUUAAGGGCAAAGCUCCCAUGGCUCAAGAUAACGAGGGUUACAUUUUAUACCCUGCCGGUUAUCCCGAGCACAAAAUUAGGAGAAUUCACUCUAGGAAGUCUCACUAAAGCUCUCAUCAUGCUUUUAUGUAUAAGAGUGAGGCAUCUAGUUCUAGGCAAUCCACUCAUGUCAAAUUGCCUAAGAAGAAAACUCCUAUUGCAUCAAAUGAACCUAAUAUUUCAUUUAAAACUUUUGAUGCUUCUUAUGUGCUCACUAACAAAUCAGGCAAAAUAGUUGCCAAAUAUGUUGGGGGCAAACACAAGGGGUCAAAGACUUGUGUUUGGGUACCCAAGGUGCUUGUUUCUAAUGUGAAAGGACCCAAGACUGUUUGGGUACCUAAGAACAAGGCCUAAAAUUGUUUUGUAGGUUUAUGCAUCCGGGGGCUCAAGUUGGAUCAUCGACAGCAGGUGCACAAACCACAUGACAGGAGAGAAAAGGAUGUUCUCCUCCUACGAGAAAAACCAUGAUCCCCAAAGAGCUAUCACAUUCGGGGAUGGAAAUCAAGGUUUGAUCAAAGGACUUGGUAAAAUUGCUAUAUCUCCUGACCAUUCUAUUUCCAAUGUUUUUCUUAUAGAUUCUUUAUAUUACAAUUUGCUUUCUGUUUCUCAAUUAUGCAAAAUGGGCUACAACUGUCUUUUUACAGAUUUAGGUGUUACUGUCUUUAGAAGAAGUGAUGAUUCAGUAGCAUUUAAGGGAGUGUUAGAGGGUCAGCUAUACUUAGUUGAUUUGAAUAAAGCUGAACUCGACACUUGCUUAAUUGCUAAGACUAACAUGGGUUGGCUCUGGCACCGCCGACUAGCCCAUGUUGGGAUGAAGAAUCUUCAUAAGCUUCUAAACGGAGAGCACAUUUUGGGACUAACCAAUGUUCAUUUUGAGAAAGACAGGGUUUGUAGCGCAUGUCAAGCAGGGAAGCAAGUUGGUGUUCAUCAUCCACACAAGAACAUCAUGAUGAUCGAUAGGCCGCUUGAGUUACUCCACAUGGACCUAUUCGGCCUGAUCGCUUACAUAAGCAUCGACGGGAGUAAGUAUUGUCUUGUAAUUGUGGAUGAUUAUUCUCGCUUCACUUGGAUGUUCUUUUUGCAGGAAAAAUCACAAACCCAAGAGACCUUAAAGGGAUUCUUGAGACGGGCUCAAAAUGAGUUCGGCUUAAGGAUCAAAAAGAUUAGAAGCGCCAACGGGACGGAGUUCAAGAACUCUCAAAUUGAAGGCUUCCUUGAGGAUGAGGGCAUCAAGCAUGAGUUCUCUUCUCCCUACACACCACAACAAAAUGAUGUAGUGGAGAGGAAGAAUAGAACUCUACUUGACAUGGCGAGGACCAUGCUUGAUGAGUACAAGACUUCAGACCGGUUUUUGGCGGAAGCAAUCAAGACCGCUUGCUACGCCAUCAACCAUCUCUACCUUCACCGAAUCCUUAAGAAGACAUCAUAUGAACUCCUAACAGGUAAAAAGCCCAAUGUUUCAUAUUUUAGAGUAUUUGGUAGCAAAUGUUUUGUUCUUGUUAAAAGAGGUAGAAAAUCUAAAUUUGCUCCUAAGACUGUAGAAGGCUUUUUACUUGGUUAUGAUUCAAACACAAGGGCAUAUAGAGUCUUUAACAAGUCCACUGGACUAGUUGAAGUUUCUUGUGACAUUGUGUUUGAUGAGACUAACGGCUCUCAAGUAGAGCAAGUUGAUCUUGAUGAGCUAGAUGAUGAAGGGGCUCCGUGCGUCGCGCUAAGGAACAUGUCCAUUGGGGAUGUGUGUCCUAAGGAAUCAGAAGAGCCUCCACAAGCACAAGAUCAACCAUCUUCCUCCAUGCAAGCAUCUCCACCAACUCAAGAUGAGGAUCAAACUCAAGAGGAUGAAAAUGAAGAUCAAGAAGAUGAGCCACCUCAAGAAGGGCACAAUGAUCAAGGGGGAGAUGCCCAUGAUCAAGACAAGGAAGAUGAUGACGAUCCAAGGCCGCCACACCCAAGAGUCCACCAAGCAAUACAACGAGAUCACCCUGUGAACUCCAUCCUCGGUGAUAUUCAAAAGGGGGUAACCACUCGAUCUCGUGUUGCUCAUUUUUGUGAACAUUACUCUUUUGUGUCUUCUAUUGAGCCAUACAGGGUGGAAGACACAUUAAGGGAUUCGGAUUGGGUGUUGGCAAUGCAAGAGGAACUCAACAACUUCACAAGGAAUGAGGUAUGACAUUUAGUUCCACGUCCUAACCAAAAUGUUGUAGGCACCAAGUGGGUCUUCCGCAACAAACAAGAUGAGCAUGGUGUGGUGACAAGGAACAAAGCCUGACUUAUGGCCAAGGGAUAUUCACAAGUCGAAGGUUUGGAUUUCGGUGAAACCUAUGCACCCGUAGCUAGGCUUGAGUCAAUUCGUAUAUUACUUGCCUAUGCUACUUACCAUGGCUUUAAGAUCUAUCAAAUGGACGUGAAAAGUGCCUUCCUUAAUGGACCAAUCAGGGAGGAGGUCUAUGUUGAGCAACCUCCCGGCUUUAAAGAUAGUGAGUACCCUAACCAUAUCUAUAAACUCUCUAAGGCGCUUUAUGGGCUCAAGCAAGCCUCAAGAGCAUGGUAUGAAUGACUAAAAGAUUUUCUUAUCGCUAUUGGCUUCAAAGUCAGAAAAGCUGAUCCUACUCUCUUUACCAAAACUAUUUGUCGGCGUUUCGGAACCCGGGGGUCCCUGGACCGACGAGUAAACUGUCGUCGCGUGCCCCAGCCCAGAUGGGUCGGCGCGAGAUACAGCGCGAAGGGGGGAAGGCAGCCGGAGGGAGACGGGCGUGAGAGGUGGAAAUCCCGCGGCCUUCGUGUUUGUCCCGCGCCCAGGUCGGGUGCGCUUGCAGUAGGGGGUUACAAGCGUCCACGCGGGAGGGAGCGAGCGGCCUCACACGAGCGCCUGUCCCGUCCUUCCCCGCGUGGCCAACCCUCUGUAAGAGGGCCCUAUUCCUUCCUUUUAUAAGCGCAAGGAGAGGAUCCAGGUGUACAAUGGGGGUGUAGCAGUGUGCUAACGUGUCUAGCGGAGGAGAGCUAGCGCCCUAAGUACAUGCCAUCGUGGCAGCCGGAGAGGUUUUCGCACCCGGUUCGUGUGGUGUCGUGGCCGUCGGAGGAGCGCUGGAGCCUGGCGGAAGGACUGCUGUCGGGGCUGUCAAGUCCUUGCUGACGUCCUCUUGCUUCCGUAAGGGGGCUGAGAGCCGCCGUCGUCAUAGAGCGUGCGGGGCGCCAUCAUUACUUGUCUGGCGGAGCGAGCCAGAUGGGACGCCGGUCUUGUUCCCCGUAGCCUGAGUCAGCUUGGGGUAGGGUAAUGAUGGCGCCUCCUGUUGACGUGGUCGGUCCAUGCCCUGGGUUGGGCGAUGUGGAGGCUCCUCCGAGGUCGAGGUCGAGUCUGUCUUCCAAGGCCGAGGUCGAGUCCGAGCCCCUGGGUCGGGCGAGGCGGAGACCGUUGGCUGAGGCCAGGGCUUGAGUCCGAGCCCUGGGGUCGGGCGAAGCGGAGUUCGUCGUCUUCCGGGGCUGAGCCCGAGUCCGAGUCCUGGGGUCGGCCGAAGCGGAGUUCGUCGUCUUCCAGGGCUGAGCCCGAGUCCGAGCCCUAGGGUCUGGCGAAGUGGAGUUCGUCGUCUUCCGGGGCUGAGCCCGAGUCCGAGCCCUGGGGUCGGGCGAAGCGGAGUUCGUCGUCUUCCGGGGUUGAGCCCGAGUCCGAGCCCUGGGGUCGGGCGAAGCGGAGUUCGUCGUCUUCCGGGGCUGAGCCCGAGUCCGAGCCCUGGGGUCGGGCGAAGCGGAGUUUCCUAUGGCGCCUGAGGCCGGACCUGGCUGUUGUCAGCCUUACUCUGUCGAGUGGCACAACAGUCGGAGCGGCGCAGGCGGCGCUGUCCUCUUGUCAGACCAGUCAGUGGAGCGGCGAAGUGACUGCGGUCACUUCGGCUCUGUCGACUGGAGGGCGCGCGUCAGGAUAAAGGUGUUAGGCCACCUUUGCAUUAAAUGCCCCUGCGAUUUGGUUGGUUGGCGUGGCGAUUUGGCCAAGGUUGCUUCUUGGUGAAGACUGGGCCUUGGGCGAGCCGAAGGUGUGUCCGUUGCUGGAGGGGGGCCUCGGGCGAGACGUAGAUCCUCCGGGGUCGGCUGCCCUUGCCCGAGGCUGGGCUCGGGCGAGGCGUGAUCGCGUCCCUCGAAUGGACCAAUCCUUGACUUAGUUACACCCAUCAGGCCUUUGCAGCUUUGUGGUGAUGGGGGUUACCAGCUGAGAUUUAGGAGCCUUGAGGGUACCCCUAAUUAUGGUCCCCGACAGUAGCCCCCGAGCCUCGAAGGGAGUGUUAACACUCGCUUGGAGGCUUUUGUCGCACUUUUUUGCAAGGGGACCAGCCUGUCUCGGUUGCGUUUUGUUCCAGUGGGUGUAGCCCCCGAGGCCUCGGAGGAGUGGUUUGACUCCUUCGAGGUCUUAAUGCCUUGCGCAAUGCUUCGGCUGGUCUGGUUGUUCCCUCAUGCGAGCUGGCCGUAGCCCGGGUGCACGGUCGGGUCCCAAGUUCUCGGGCUGGUAUGUUGACGCUGUCAACGGUUUGGCCGGAGCCAGGUUUGCGAGAGCAGCCCCCGAGCCUCUGCACAGGGCAAGAGGACGGUCAAGGACAGACUCGACUUUUUUGCAUACGCCCCUGCGUCGCCUUUCCGCAAGGAGGAGGGGGGGAAAGCGCCAUGUUGCCCUCGGAGGGCGCCGAACAUGGUGUCUCCGUUGAGCUGCUGGCGGGUAAUCCGAGUGGACGCCCGUGCCCCAUUUGUUAGGGGUCGGCUAGAGGCCCGGAGGCGCGCUCAAAAGUACCUGCCGGUGAUCUACCGGACCCGGUCCCCUUUCGAUGGGGUCCGAGGGCUCGAUGCCUCCCUCUGAUGGGAUUCCAUUACAAGAUCGUUCCCGCUGGUCUCGGAAAUGUCCUAGGGUACCUCGGGAGCGUAGCCCGAGCCUUGGUUAUGUAUCGAACGUACCCAGGGUCAUCCCUCGCUCUGUGUCUGAGGCGGCUAUGAACCCUUCGAGGGCCAGCCUACGAACCCCUGAUCAGUAGUGGGCGCGAAGCCCGAGUGGCCUGAGGCGGCAGUUGAACCCUUCCGAGGGGCCGACCUUCGAACCUCUGACCAGUAGUGGGUGCAGAACCCAAGCGCUCUGAGGCGGCUGUUGAACCCCUCCGAGGGGCCAGCCUUCGAACCUCUGAUCAGUAGGGAGGCUCGGGGCCUGUUUCCUUCAUGGAGAAGGAUCCUUUUUGGGGUAUCCCCCUUUCCCGGUCCCUGUUGUAAGAGAGAGAAAGAGGAAAAGGAAAAUGAUACAAAAUCGAAUGACGUGGCGUACCUUUUUUGACGAGAUCAUUAUGGCGAAGGCAAAGCGUCGCUCGCUUCCCCUGCCAGAGGCGCCGCCUGUCCCGCCGCGGAGUUAAUGCGACAGGGCGAGUGGUUCGCAGGGCGGCCGUUGCGUGCCCGUGUUCCGUUCCUGGCCGGGUCGUCCACUGGCGGGACCGACGCGCGGAACUGAGUUGCCGAAGCCUCGGGCCGGGCUGAUGUCUUCGGGGGACAGCUGGCCGAGGCCUCGGGGUGACCGGCCGAGCCGUCUGCUCGAGCCGGGCUCCUGGAGAAGACCCUGGCGGCGAUGGCCCGGGCAUGGUGAUGAUGUCGUCCUUCAGAGUGGAGAUUCUCCGAUUGCUUCGCCGUCCGAGGCUAGGUCGGACCUCGUCGAAGGUGUAGUUGACGCCGAGGGUGCUGCUGCUCCCUUCAACUGUCAAGAUCCGAGCCUGCAGGAUCAGAUUAUCUUGUAGUGUGUGUAUGUUUUCUGCGGCCGCCGAGGCCCAAACACACCAUCGUCGUGUUGUAAAGCUGCGCUUCUUUUCCUCUUGUUUCGAGUAUCUGGACUUUUUCGUCGGUAACAGAAUUGUCUGUGCGAGCGAGAGUUGCUUUUCACGGAAGGCGAUGAGUGAGGUAUCCGUAUCCCGGAGGCGUAGGAAUCCCUUGGCUCGGUCGGCCCUACCGCUUACGCGUACUCUUGCCCGUCCAUAGGGUUCUAUCACCGACGCAGUCGAGAAGGCCCGAAGAAUCGCUUCGGCAGAGGAGCUUUCGAGCGUGAAGACUUGUUCGGUCCGCGGAAUCACUUAUCCGAACGCGAGUUACUUAUCACAGAAGGUGAUGAGUGAGGUAUCCGUAUCCCGGAGGCGUAGGAGUCCCUCGGCUCGGUCAGCCUUGGCUGCUUACGUGUACUCCGUCGUUUUCAGGAUCCACUUUCGAAGUAGUCGAAAAAGCACGAAAGACAUUCUGGCAGAAAAGAUCUUUUUUCGAGGAAAAUUUCGACGUAGAGGGGGUUCCCCCUUUUAGCCCCCGAGGGAGGGUCGGGCUUUGCCGAGGCAAGGCUGACCCUUCCUUGAUGACUAAACUUUGCGUGGGAACGAGGCAUACGAACAACUUGAAAGCAUCUUAAGGGUAGAAGCGACGUAGUUGUUGGAUGUUCCAAGCGUUACUGUAGACCUCGCCUUAACUGUUGGCCAGCUUGUAUGUUCCGAGCUUCUGAAUUUUGGCGAUGACGAACGGCCCCUCCCAGGGAGGCGUGGGCUUGUGCCGCCCUCGGGCGUCUUGUCGCAGCCGAAGCACCAGGUCGCCCGCCUGGAGGUCUCGGGACCGAACCCCUCGGGCGUGGUAGCGUCACAGGGACUGCUGGUACCGCGCCGAGUGUAGUAAGGCCAUGUCCCGAGCCUCUUCCAGCUGGUCCAGCGAGUCUUCUCGAUUAGCUUGAUUGCUUUGGUCGGCGUAGGCCCUCGUCCUCGGGAAACCGUAUUCUAUGUCUGUGGGCAGGAUGGCCUCGACCCCAUAGACUAGAAAGAACGGCGUGAAGCCCGUGGCUCGGCUCGGUGUUGUCCUCAGACUCCAGACCACCGAGGGGAGUUCCUUCAUCCAUCGCUUGCCGAACUUGUUGAGGUCAUUGUAGAUCCGAGGCUUGAGUCCUUGUAGAACCAUGCUGUUGGCACGCUCUACUUGCCCAUUCGUCAUGGGGUGAGCCACGGCGGCCCAGUCCACCCGGAUGUGGUGAUCCUCGCAGAAGUCCAGGAACUUUCUGCCGGUGAACUGGAUGCCGUUGUCGGUGAUGAUGGAGUUCGGGACCCCAAAGCGAUGGAUGAUGUUGGUGAAGAACGCCACCGCCUGUUCGGACCUGAUGCUGUUUAGGGGUCGAACCUCGAUCCACUUGGAGAAUUUGUCGAUGGCGACCAACAGGUGCGUGUAGCCCCCGGGUGCCUUCUGCAAGGGGACGACGAGGUCCAGACCCCACACAGCAAAAGGCCAGGUGAUGGGUAUCGUCUGCAGGGCCUGAGCGGGCAGGUGGGUCUGCCUUGCGUAGAACUGACACCCUUCGCAGGUGCGGACAAUUCUAGUGGCGUCGACCACCGCCGUCGGCCAGUAGAAACCUUGUCGGAAGGCGUUUCCAACAAGGGCUCGAGGUGCUGCGUGAUGGCCGCAAGCCCCUGAGUGUAUCUCUUGUAGGAGCUCCUGGCCUUCGGCGAUGGAAAUGCAUCGCUGGAGGAUGCCUGAGGGGCUGCGGUGGUAGAGUUCCUUCCCGUCCCCCAGCAAGACAAACGACUUGGUGCGCCGCGCCAACCGCCGAGCUUCGGCUCGGUCAAGGGGUAGCUCUCCUCGGUGGAGAUAUUGCAGGUACGGGGUAUGCCAGUUUCGAUUUGGUGUGACCCCGCUUCGCUCCUCCUUGAUGCGUAGUGCCUCACCCUCGGGGGCCGAGGGUACCUCGGGCCGAACCGAGGGUGCAUCGGGCUGGGCCGGGGGUAACUCAGACUGAGCCGAGGGUACCUCGGACUGAGCCGAGGGUACCUCGGACUGAGCCGAGGGUGCCUCAGGCUCGGCCGAGGCCUUCUCGGGCUCGGGCGUGUCGUCGGUCUUGACGGAGGGUUGAUGCAGGUCUCGGGAGAAGACGUCCGGGGGAACCGUUGUUCACCCCGAGGCUAUUUUAGCCAGCUCGACCGCAGUCUCGUUGUAGCGUCGGGCGAUGUGGUUGAGCUCGAGCCCAUAGUACUUGUCUUCCAGGCGCCGAACCUCAUCGCAGUAGGCUUCCAUCUUUGGGUCGCGGCAGUGGGAGUUCUUCAUGACUUGGUCGAUGACGAGCUGUGAGUCACCGCGAGCGUCGAGGCGUCGGACCCCUAGCUCAAUGGCAAUGCGCAAACCGUUGACCAGAGCCUCAUACUCAGCCACAUUGUUGGACGCCGGGAAGUGGAGGCGUAGCACGUAGCGUAGGUGCUUUCCGAGGGGCGAGAUGAAGAGCAGGCCUGCGCCUGCCCCUGUCUUCAUCAGCGACCCGUCGAAGAACAUGGUCCAGAGUUCCGGUUGGAUCGGAGCUGUUGGGAGCUGGGUGUCGACCCAUUCAGCCAUGAAGUCCGCCAAGACCUGGGACUUGAUGGCCUUCCGAGGGGCGAACGAGAUCGUUUCACCCAUGAUUUCCACCGCCCACUUCGCAAUUCUACCCGAGGCCUCUCGGCACUGGAUGAUCUCCCCUAGGGGGAAGGAUGACACCACAGUUACCGGAUGAGACUCGAAGUAGUGUCUUAAUUUCCACCGCGUCAGGAUCACCGCGUAUAGCAGCUUCUGAAUUUGUGGGUAGCGGAUCUUGGUCUCGGACAGUACCUCGCUGAUGAAGUAGACUGGCCUCUGGAUGGGCAAUGCAUGCCCCUCUUCACGUCUCUCAACCACAAUCGUGGCGCUAAGCACCUGAGUGGUCGCGGCGACGUAGAUCAAGAGGGCUUCUCCGGCAGCGGGAGGCACCAAGGUGGGCGCGUUCGUGAGGAGCGCCUUCAAGUUCCCGAGGGCUUCCUUGGCCUCAGGGGUCCAAGUGAAGCACUCGGCCUUCCUUAGGAGGCGGUACAGAGGCAGGCCUCUUUCGCCGAGGCGCGAGAUGAAACGUGUCAGGGACCAUAAUUAGGGGUACCCUCAAGACUCCUAAUUCUCAGCUGGUAACCCCCAUCAGCACAAAGCUGCAAAGGCCUGAUGGGUGCGACUAAAUCAGGGAUCGGUCCAUUCGAGGGACUCGAUCAUGCCUCGCCCGAGCCUAGCCUCGGGCAAGGGCAGCCGACCCCGGAGGAUCUCCGUCUCGCCCGAGGCCCCCCUCCAGCGACGAACAUACUUCUGGCUCGCCCGAGGCUCAGUCUUCGCCAAGAAGCAACCCUGGCCAAAUCGCCACGCUAACCGACCAAAUCACAGGGGCAUUUAAUGCAAAGGUGGCCUGACACCUUUAUCCUGACGCACGCCCUCCAGUCGACAGAGCCGAAGUGACCGCAGUCACUUCGCCGCUCCACUGACCGGCCUGACAGAAGGACAGCGCCGCCUACGCCGCUCCGACUGCUGUGCCACUCGACAGAGUGAGGCUGACCGGUAGUCAAGCCCGGCCUCAGGCACCAUAGGAAACUCCGCUUCGCCCGACCCAGGGCUCGGACUUGGGCUCAGCCCCAGAAGACGGCGAACUCCGCUCCGCCCGACCCAGGGCUCGGACUCGGGCUCAGCCCCAGAAGACGACGAACUCCGCUUCGCCCGACCCCAGGGCUCGGACUCAGCCCUGGCCUCCACCGAUGGUCUCCGCCUCGCCCUACCUAGGGGCUCGGACUCGACCUCGGCCUCGGAAGACAGACUCGACCUCGGCCUCGGAGGAGCCUCCACAUCGCCCAACCUAAGGCACGGACCGACCACGUCAACAGGAGGCGCCAUCAUUACCCUACCCCAAGCUGACUCGGGCUACGGGGAACAAGACCGGUGCCUCAUCUGGCUCGCUCCGCCAGACAAGUAAUGAUGGCGCCCCGCACGCUCUAUGACGAUGGCGGCUCCCAGCCCCCUUACGGAAGCAAGAGGACGUCAGCAAGGACUCGACAGCCCCGAUAGCUGUCCUUCCGCCAGGCUCCAGCGCUCCUCCGACGGCCACGACACCACACGAACCGAGUGCCAAAACCUCUCCGGCUGCCACGAUGGCAUGUACUUAGGGCGCUAGCUCUCCUCCGCUAGACACGUUAGCACUCUGCUACACCCCCCCAUUGUACACCUGGAUCCUCUCCUUACGCCUAUAAAAGGAAGGACCAGGGCCCUCUUACAGAGGGUUGGCCACGCGGGGAAGAGGAUGGGACAGGCGCUCGCGCGCGUGAGGCCGCUCGCUCCCCUCCCGCGUGGACGCUUGUAACCCCCUACUGCAAGCGCACCCGACCCGGGCGCGGGACAAACACGAAGGCCGCGAGAUUCCCACCUCUCUCUCUCUCGCGCUCCGGCUGCCUUUUUCCCCCUUCGCUCCGUCUCGCGCCGACCCAUCUGGGCUGGGGCACGCGGCGACAUCCUCACUCGUCGGCGCAGGGACCCCCCGGUCUCAAAACGCCGACAGUUGGCGCGCCAGGUAGGGGCCUGCUGCGUGUUGACGAACAGCUACCCGUCAAGCUCCAGAUGGGCAGUCUCCAGCAACCUUUCCAGCCCAGGAUGAUGCUCCGUUUCGGGAGUCUUGAAUUCAUGUCCCUCGACGGCAGCUACGACAUGAUACUCCUUCCCCAGCCGUGCGACAGCGACAAUGGUGGCCGACAGCCCGCCCGCCGGCGGUGGAAUCGACGACGUCUUCCCCGCGUGGUGGAAGAACAACAUUCGAGUUCACCCCGCCCUCUCCCCCGCCGACGGAGGAGGAGGCGGAGCAACUAAGGCCAUGCAGGAGGCGACACCUCGUCGACUGUCGAGCGAGUCGACGGCGCCCCAACGGGGGGCACGUCGGGCAUCGACCUCGCGUUAGAGACGAAGACGAGCGCCGUCUCCCCGCAACACGCCAAUUCCAAGCAAACGGAUGAUGCCAGCACGCUCGCGAAAGGCUUGCUGGGCGUCACCCUCGUACCUGAGACGACGGUGCAGUCAGUCCCUGACGUGACUCCGUCACCGCCCGUCGACCAAGAGGUACCCACCGAUUCCCAUCUCACGCCCUUUGGAUUCAGCCUCGACCCGCCAAGCGACUUCGCUUUGGCGGACGCUCUCGUAGAGGCGAGUCCAAACCCUGUGGGGUUUCGUAUGCGGUCACCCUGGGACCGGCUGACGGACGUCUCGACCUACGGGCCCUCGGGGUCCGAGGAAGAUGACGUGUCCGACUUCUGUUGGGAUUUCUCCAGACUUGGUAACCCCAGUGCCAUGCGGGACUUCAUGACCGCAUGCGACUACUGCCUUUCCGACUGUUCAGACGGUAGCCGCAGCCUCAGCGACGAGGACUGCGGCCCAAGUCGUGAAUGUUUCCACGUCGAUCUAGGGGGUCCCUCCGAAGGCAACCAUCUUGGUAUGCCGGAGGACGGUGAUCUCCCUAGGCCUGUGCCUCGUGUUGACAUCCUACGGGAGCUAGCUGUGGUCCCCGUUCAGGCGGGGGGUCAUGACCCACAGCUCGAGCAAAUCCGCGGGGUGCAGGCCAGGCUCGACGAGGGAGAAGGAACACUUGAGCCGAUCCGCCGGGAUAUCGGGCAGGAAUGGGCGGGCCAACCUCCGGCCGGAGAAGUGCGCCAUCUACCCCAGGGUACCCAGCACCGUGUCGCCGACGAUGUCAGGGUGAGGCCGCCACCCGCUUCCAGUGGAGUCGGCCAGAACCUGGCUGCAGCGGCAAUGCUUCUCCGCGCUAUGUCGGAGCCAUCAACCACCGAGGGGCGGUGAAUCCAGGGAGAGCUCAAGAAUCUCCUGGAGGGCGCCGCGGUUCGACGGGCCGAGAGCUCCGCCUCCCUAAGGCAGGGGUACCCCUCGGAACAUCACGCCGCGACUUCCCGAUUCAUGCGGGAAGCCUCGGUCCACACCGGGCGCACGCGCAACACAGCGCCUGCGGCCCCGGGUCGCCUCGACAACGAGCACCAUCACCGCGACCGUCGGACCCACCUCGACGAGAGGGUGCGCCGAGGCUACCACCCCAGGCGUGGGGGACGCUACGAUAGCGGGGAGGAUCGGAGUCCCUCGCCCGAACCAUCCAGUCCACAGGCUUUCAGCCGCGCCAUACGACGGGCGCCGUUCCCUACCCGGUUCCGAACCCCGACUACUAUCACAAAGUACUCGGGGGAGACGAGACCGGAACUGUGGCUCGCAGACUACCGGCUGGCCUGCCAACUGGGUGGAACGGACGAUGACAACCUCAUCAUCCGCAACCUCCCCCUGUUCCUCUCCGACACCGCUCGCUCCUGGUUGGAGCACCUGCCUUCGGGGCAGAUCUCCAACUGGGACGACCUAGUCCAAGCCUUCGUCGGCAAUUUCCAGGGCACGUACGUGCGCCCUGGGAACUCCUGGGACCUCCGAAGCUGCCGACAGCAGCCGGGAGAGUCUCUCCGGGACUACAUCCGGCGAUUCUUGAAGCAGCGCACCGAGCUGCCCAACAUCACCAAUUCGGAUGUCAUCGGCUCGUUCCUCGCUGGCACCACUUGCCGCGACCUGGUCAGCAAGCUGGGUCGAAAGACCCCCACUAGGGCGAGCGAGCUGAUGGACAUCGCCACCAAGUUCGCCUCUAGCCAGGAGGCGGUUGAGGCUAUCUUCCAGAAGGACAAGCAGCCCCAGGGCCGCCCACCGGAAGACGCCCCCGAGGCGUCAACUCAGCGCGGCGCCAAGAAGAAAGGCAAGAAGAAGUCACAAGCGAAACGCGACGCCGCCGACGCGGACCUUGUCACCGCCGCCGAGUACAAGAACCCUCGGAAACCCCCCGGAGGUGCCAACCUCUUCCUUGAGGAGUGCGCCAUGCUUCGGCGCCACUUCCACAGGGCCAGGCCACCCGCGGAGGGUGGCAGGGCUCGCGACGACGACAAGAAGGAAGAUCACCAGGCAGGAGAGUUCCCCGAGGUCCGCGACUGCUUCAUGAUCUACGGUGGGCAAGCGGCAAACGCCUCGACUCGGCACCGCAAGCAAGAGCGUCGGGAGGUCUGUUCGGUGAAGGUGGCGGUGCCAGUCUACCUAGACUGGUCCGACAAGCCCAUCACCUUCGACCAAGCCGACCACCCCGACCACGUGCCGAGCCCAGGGAAAUACCCGCUCGUUGUCGACCCCGUCAUCGGUGACGUCAGGCUCACCAAGGUCCUCAUGGACGGAGGCAGCAGCCUCAACAUCAUCUACGCUGAGACCCUCGGGCUCCUGCAUGUUGAUCUAUCCUCGGUCCGGGCAGGCGCUGCGCCUUUCCACAGGAUCAUCCCCGGGAAGCGCGUCCAGCCCCUCGGACAACUCGACCUUCCUGUCUGCUUCGGAACACCCUCCAACUUCCGAAGGGAGACCCUCACGUUCGAGGUGGUCGGGUUCCGAGGAACCUACCACGCAGUACUGGGGAGGCCAUGCUACGCGAAGUUCAUGGACGUCCCCAACUACACCUACCUCAAGCUCAAGAUGCCGGGCCCCAACGGGGUCAUCACCGUCGGCCCCACGUACAAACACGCGUUCGAAUGCGACAUGGAGUGCAUGGAGUACGCUGAGGCCCUCGCCGAAUCCGAGGCCCUCAUCGCCGACCUGGAGAGCCUCUCUAAGGAGGUGCCAGACGUGAAGCGCCACGCCGGCAACUUCGAGCCAGCGGAGACGGUUAAGUCCGUCCCCCUCGACCCCAGCAGCGACGCCUCCAAGUAGAUCCGGAUCGGCUCCGAGCUCGAUCCCAAAUAGGAAGCAGUGCUCGUCGACUUUCUCCGCGCAAACGCCGACGUUUUUGCGUGGAGUCCCUCGGACAUGCCCGGCAUACCGAGGGAUGUCGCCGAGCACUCGCUGGAUAUCCGAGCUGGAGCCCGACCCAUGAAGCAGCCUCUGCGCCGAUUCGACGAAGAAAAGUGUAGAGCCAUAGGCGAGGAGAUCCACAAGCUAAUGGCGGCAGGGUUCAUCAAAUAGGUAUUCCAUCCCGAAUGGCUUGCCAACCCUGUGCUUGUGAGAAAGAAAGGAGGGAAAUGGCGGAUGUGUGUAGACUACACUGGUCUAAACAAAUCAUGUCCGAAGGUUCCCUAUCCUCUGCCUCGCAUCGAUCAAAUUGUGGAUUCCACUGCUGGGUGCGAAACCCUGUCUUUCCUCGAUGCCUACUCAGGGUAUCACCAAAUCAGGAUGAAGGAGUCCGACCAGCUCGCAACUUCUUUCAUCACACCCUUCGGCAUGUACUGCUAUGUCACCAUGCCGUUCGGCUUGAGGAAUGCGGGCGCGAUGUACCAGCGGUGCAUGAACCAUGUGUUCGACGAACACAUUGGCCGGACGGUCGAGGCCUACGUCGAUGACAUCAUAGUCAAGACGAGGAAAGCCUCCGACCUCCUUUCCAACCUUGAAGUGACAUUUCGAUGUCUCAAGGCGAAAGGCGUGAAGCUUAAUCCCAAGAAGUGUGUCUUUGGGGUUCCUCGAGGCAUGCUCUUGGGGUUCAUCGUCUCCGAGCGGGGCAUCGAAGCCAACCCGGAGAAGAUCGCGGCCAUCACCAGCAUGGGGCCCAUCAAGGACUUGAAGGGCAUACAGAGAGUCACGGGAUGUCUUGCGGCUCUGAGCCGCUUCAUCUCAUGCCUCGGCGAAAGAGGCCUGCCUCUGUACCGCCUCUUAAGGAAGGCCGAGUGCUUCACUUGGACCCCUGAGGCCGAGGAAGCCCUCGGGAACCUGAAGGCGCUCCUCACGAACGCGCCCAUCUUGGUGCCCCCCGCUGCCGGAGAAGCCCUCUUGAUCUACGUCGCCGCGACCACUCAGGUGGUUAGUGCCGCGAUCGUGGUUGAGAGACGAGAAGAAGGGCAUGCAUUGCCCGUCCAGAGGCCAGUCUACUUCAUCAGCGAGGUACUGUCCGAGACCAAGAUCCGCUACCCACAAGUUCAGAAGUUGCUGUACGCGGUGAUCCUGACGCGGCGGAAGUUGCGACACUACUUCGAGUCUCAUCCGGUAACUGUGGUGUCAUCCUUCCCCCUGGGGGAGAUCAUCCAGAGCCGAGAGGCCUCGGGUAGAAUCGCAAAGUGGGCGGUGGAAAUUAUGGGCGAAACGAUCUCGUUCGCCCCUCGGAAGGCCAUCAAGUCCUAGGUCUUGGCGGACUUCGUGGCUGAGUGGGUCGACACCCAGCUCCCAACAGUUCCGAUUCAACCGGAACUCUGGACCAUGUUCUUCGACGGGUCGCUGAUGAAGACAGGAGCCAGCGCAGGCCUACUCUUCAUCUCGCCCCUCGGGAAGCACCUACGCUACGUGCUACGCCUCCACUUCCCGGUGUCCAACAAUGUGGCUGAGUACGAGGCUCUGGUCAAUGGGUUGCGCAUCGCCAUCAAGCUAGGGGUCCGGCGCCUCGACGCUCGCGGUGACUCGCAACUCGUUAUCGACCAAGUCAUGAAGAACUCCCACAGCCGCGACCCGAAGAUGGAAGCCUACUGCGAUGAGGUUCGGCGCCUGGAAGACAAGUUCUACGGGCUCGAGCUCAACCAUAUCGCCCGGCGCUACAACGAGACUGCGGACGAGCUGGCUAAAAUAGCCUCAGGGCGAACAACGGUUCCCCCGGACGUCUUCUCCCGAGACCUGCGUCAACCCUCCAUCAAGAUCGACGACACGCCCGAGCCCGAGGCAUCCUCGGCCCAGCUCAAGGUACCCUCGACUCAGUCCGAGGCACCCUCGGCUCGGCCCGAGGCACCCUCAGCUCGGCCCAAGGCACCCUCGGCCCCCGAGGGUGAGGCACUGCGCGUCGAGGAGGAGCGAAGCGGGGUCACGCCUAAUCGAAACUGGCAGACCCCGUACCUGCGAUAUCUCCACCGAGGAGAGCUACCCCUCGACCGAGCCGAAGCUCGGCGGUUGGCGCGACGCGCCAAGUCAUUCGUGUUGUUGGGGGAUGGGAAGGAGCUCUACCACCGCAGCCCCUCAGGCAUCCUCCAGCGAUGCGUCCCCAUCGCCGAAGGUCAGGAGCUCCUACGAGAGAUACACUCGGGGGCUUGCGGGCAUCACGCAGCACCUCGAGCCCUUGUUGGAAACGCCUUCCGACAAGGUUUCUACUGGCCGAUGGCGGUGGCCGACGCCACUAGAAUUGUCCGCACCUGCGAAGGAUGUCAGUUCUACGUGAGGCAGACCCACCUGCCUGCUCAGGCUCUGCAGACGAUACCCAUCACCUGGCCUUUUGCUGUGUGGGGUCUGGACCUCGUCAGCCCCUUGCAGAAGGCACCCGGGGGCUACACGCACCUGUUGGUCGCCAUCGACAAAUUCUCCAAGUGGAUCGAGGUUCGACCCCUAAACAUCAUCAGGUCCGAACAGGCGGUGGCAUUCUUCACCAACAUCAUCCAUCGCUUUGGAGUCCCGAACUCCAUCAUCACCGACAACGGCACCCAGUUCACCGGCAGAAGGUUCCUGAACUUCUGCGAGGAUCACCACAUCCGGGUGGACUGGGCCGCCGUAGCUCACCCCAUGACGAAUGGGCAAGUAGAGCGUGCCAACGACAUGAUUCUACAAGGACUCAAGCCUCGGAUCUACAACGACCUCAACAAGUUCGACAAGCGAUGGAUGAAGGAACUCCCCUCGGUGGUCUGGAGUCUGAGGACAACACCGAGCCGAGCCACGGGCUUCACGCCAUUCUUUCUAGUCUAUGGGGCCGAGGCCAUCUUGCCCACAGACUUAGAAUACGGUUCCCCGAGGAUGAGGGCCUACGCCGACCAAAGCAACCAAGCUAGUCGAGAAGACUCGCUGGACCAGCUGGAAGAGGCUUGGGACAUGGCCUUACUACACUCGGCGCGGUACCAGCAGUCCCUGCGACGCUACCACGCCCGAGGGGUCCAGUCCCGAGACCUCCAGGUGGGCGACCUGGUGCUUCGGCUGCGACAGGACGCCCGAGGGCGGCACAAGCUCACGCCUCCCUGGGAAGGGCCGUUCGUCAUCGCCAAAGUUCUGAAGCCCGAAACGUACAAGCUGGCCAACAGUCAAGGCGAGGUCUACAGCAACGCUUGGAACAUCCAACAGCUACGUCGCUUCUACCCUUAAGAUGCUUUCAAGUUGUUCAUAUACCUCGCUCCCACGCAAAGUUUAGUCAUCAAGGAAGGGUCAGCCUUGCCUCGGCAAAGCCCGACCCUCCCUCGGGGGCUAAAAGGGGGGAACCCCCUCUGCGUCGAACAAGUCUUCACGCUCGAAAGCUCCUCUGCCGAAGCGAUUCUUCGGGCCUUCUCGACUGUGUCGGUGACAGAACCCUAUGGACGGGCAAGAGUGCGCGUAAGCGGCAAGGCCGACCGAGCCGAGGGAUUCCUAUGCCUCCGGGAUACGGAUACCUCACUCAUCACCUUCCGUGAAAAGCAACUCUCGCUCGCACAGACAAUUCUGUUACCGACGAAAAAGUCCAGAUACUCGAAACAAGAGGAAAAGAAGCGCUGCUUUACAACACGGCGAUGGUGUGUUUGGGCCUCGGCGGCCGCAGAAAACACACGCUACAAGAUAAUCCGAUCCUGCGGGCUCGGAUCUCGAUAGUUGAAGGGAGCAGCAGCACCCUCGGCGUCAACUACACCUUCGGCGAGGUCCGACCUAGCCUCGGACGGCGACGCGGUCCGAGGAUCUCCACUCUGAAGGACGACGUCAUCAUCACGCCCGGGCCAUCGCCGCCAGGGUCUCCUCCAAGAAUCCGACUCGAGCAGGCGGCUCGGCUGGUCACCCCGAGGCCUCGGCCAGCUGUCCCCCAAAGACAUCAGCCCGGCCCGAGGCCUCGACAGAUCAACACCGGCGUCGGUCCCGCUAACGGACGACCCGGCCAGGCUCCGGCCGACCAAGUCUUCUUUUCGAGCCAACUCUGCCUCUGUCCGUGCUGACACCGCUACCCCUGGCUUCGGCUCAUCGAAGAGCGGCCGAGGGGUUCCUUUAACUAAGCAAGAGAAGCCUCGGACAGCAAGGCCGACCGAGCCGAGGGACUCCUACGCCUCCGGGAUACAGAUACCUCACUCGUCACCUUUGUACGGGGCGACUCACGCUUGGUGAAGCAGUUCAGACAACCAACAGGCGAGUCUUAGUGCUCGAAAAUGAGGAAAAAACACGGCUCUGCGCCAAAAAUACAUACACGUUCAGGCCCCGACAGCCACAAUGAACAAAAGACCGGCAUUCAAGGUGCCAUUACAAACGGAACUCCGGUUCCACCUCCGCAGGUACGAACAACCCCACACAGUUGGGGGGCCUGCGGAGCAACAGAAGACCGACGAACGGCUCGCCGUCGCCCGCUCCAGCAGCGGCGACGACGACGACUUCUGCUCCGGGGGGCCGAAUAGCAGCAGCGAUGACCUCAGGGCGGAUGCUGCUGCCAUGAGGCCCUCGCCCGUGCCCAAACUCGUGAGGCAAGGAUGGGCAGAAGGCCGUAGAGUUGGAGGUCGGUCCGUGGGCGGCCCCGGCUAUCUCGUCGGCGGAAGAACCUCUUCCAGCUGCCGUGGCGGAAGGCGGCGCCGGGAACGGCUCCGAAGCCACUCGGGUCAGAGAGCCAGGCACGCGGCAGCUGCCAGCGCCGUGAACGACGAACGCCCUUCCCCCAAUCACUGAGGGAAGGAGCGGGCCGCCGCCCGCGCAGGGGCCGACCCCAACUCGGCACACUCCCCUCCCCAGCACUGAUGAUGAAAAUCCUUGAGGCUGAGGGAGGGGCAGAGGUCGCAGCCCGGUUUGCUUUCCCCCGCCACCGAACUGGAGGUCACCGUCUUGGGUGACCGCCGGCGGAGGGGUGCAGCCGGGCUGCAUGAUGAAAAUCCUUGAAGCCGAACGAUGGCUGAAAGGUACCAACUCCCACGGAGUUGCGUUCCUCCAACGACAAGGCGGAAGGACUGCGGGUGUCCCCCAUCCGGGGGCUCGGAAGGUGGAAAGACACGAUGCAUAAGGGAGCGCGAAGACAUGAUCGCCUUUCAAGGGGGUCACCCUCCUUUUAAAGGCGACUCUCCCUACUUGCGUCCCCAGCCGUCGUGGGCUAAGUCUUCUCCAACGCGCUCCAAGGUCCCCCCCUACGACGCGGGGGCUGGGUCCCACGCGUCGUGCAAGCUGGCCCAGAGCAGAAGAAGCCAAACCGCCGCGCGCGGUGCAUGCAACCGCCCAGCGGUUACGAGCAUUCCUCCACUUUCGCCCAGACCAGCGGGCGAAAGGGCGGGCAGCCAUGCAGGCGCUCUCCUCCGACUUCCAACGCACCCAGCAUGGGGGCCCACGCCCACAUGUCACGCAACCGGCGCGCCGGUCACUACUUGCAAGCAACUGCACCGCCACUCGCACCACUGCCAUGCCUCCUCGACUGCGGAACCAGUACCACGACUCGAGGCGACCCUGCGUAUGACCCAGCAGUGCCAGCCAGGCGCAACGGUCAAUACGGCAAAAAAUGGGUCGGCAGUAAUGGCGGUGGCAGGCGGGCGGGAGCAGCGGUCACGUCGUCCGCCAAGCUUACGUCCCAUCCUGGGGCAGUGAGAGAACCCUCUCUCACAGCGUGAAGAUGGCGCGCCCGUGUUCCAUUCCUCGAACGGCUCGCGCACGCGCAACGGCCGCCCCGCGAACCGCUCGCCCCGUCGCAUUAACUCCGCGGCGGGAAAGGCGGCGCCUCUGGCAGGGGAAGCGAGCGAUGCUUCGCGUUCGCCAUAAUGACCGCGUCAAAAGAGGUACACCACAUCAUUCAAUUUCGUAUCCUUUUCCUUUUUCCUCUUUCUCUCUCUUACAACAGGGACCGGGAAAGGGGGAUACCCCGAAAAGGAUCCUUCUUCGUGAAGGAAACAGGCUCCGAGCCUCCCUACUGAUCAGAGGUUCGAAGGCUGGCCCCUCGGAGGGGUUCAACAGCCGCCUCAGAGAGCGUGGGUUCUGCGCCCACUACUGGUCAGAGGUUCGAAGGCCGGCCCCUCGAAAGGGUUCAACGGCCGCCUCAGGCUACUCGGGCUCCGCGCCCACUACUGAUCAGGGGUUCGUAGGCUGGCCCUCGAAGGGUUCACAGCCGCCUCACACACAGAGCGAGGGAUGACCAUGGGUACGUUCGAUACAUAACCAAGGCUCGGGCUACGCUCCCGAGGUACCCUAGGACAUUUCCGAGACCAGCGGGAACGAUCUUGUAACGGAAUCCCAUCAGAGGGAGGCAUCGAGCCCUCGGACCCCGUCGAUAGGGGACCGGGUCCGGCAGAUCACCCGCAGGUACUUUUGAGCGCUCCUCCGGGCCUCUAGCCGACCCCUAACAAAUGGGGCACGGGCGUCCACUCGGAUUACCCGCCAGCAGCUCACCGGAGACACCAUGUUCGACGCCCUCCGAGGGCAACAUGGCGCUUCCCCCCCCUCCUUGCGGAAAGGCGACGCAGGGGCGUAUGUUAAAAAGUCGAGUCUGACUUUGACCGUCCUCUCGCCCUGUGCGGAGGCUCGGGGGCUGCUCUCGCAAACCCGGCUCCGGCCAAACCGUUGACAACGUCAACAUACCAGCCCGAGAACUUGGGACCCGACCGUGCACCCGGGCUACGGCCAGCUCGCAUGAGGGAACGACCAGACCAGCCGAAGCAUUGCGCGAGGCAUUAAGACCUCGCAGGAGUCAAACCACUCCUCCGAGGCCUCGGGGGCUACACCCGGCGGGUGCGCUCGCGCGCACCCAUCGGAACAAAACGCAACCGAGAAAGGCUGGUCCCCUUGCAAAAAAGUGCGACAAAAGCCUCCAAGCGAGUGUUAACACUCCCUUCGAGGCUCGGGGGCUACUGUCGGGGACCAUAAUUAGGGGUACCCUCAAGACUCCUAAUUCUCAGCUGGUAACCCCCAUCAGCACAAAGCUGCAAAGGCCUGAUGGGUGCGAGUAAGUCAGGGAUCGGUCCAUUCGAGGGACUCGAUCACGCCUCGCCUGAGCCUAGCCUCGGGCAAGGGCAGCCGACCCCGGAGGAUCUCCGUCUCGCCCGAGGCCCCCCUCCAGCGAUGAACAUACUUCCGGCUCGCCCAAGGCACAGUCUUCGCCAAGGAGCAACCCUGCCAAAUUGCCACGCUAACCGACCAAAUCGCAGGGGCAUUUAAUGCAAAGGUGGCCUGACACCUUUAUCCUGACGCACGCCCUCCAGUCGACAGAGCCGAAGUGUCCGCAGUCACUUCGCCGCUCCACUGACUGGCCUGACAGAAGGACAGCGCCGCCUACGCCGCUCCGACUGCUGUGCCACUCGACAGAGUGAGGCUGACCGGCAGUCAGGCCCGGCCUCAGGCGCCAUAGGAAACUCCGCUUCGCCCGACCCAGGGCUCGGCCUCGGGCUCAGCCCCGGAAGACGGCGAACUCCGCUCCGCCCGACCCAGGGCUUGGACUGGGGCUCAGCCACGGAAGACGGCGAACUCCGCUCCGCCCGACCUAGGGCUCGGACUCGGGCUCAGCCCCGGAAGACGGCGAACUCCGCUCCGCCUGACCUAGGGCUCGGACUCGGGCUCAGCCCCGGAAGACGGCGAACUCCGCUUCGCCCGACCCCAGGGCUCGGACUCAGCUCUGGCCUCCACCGACGGUCUCCACCUCGCCCAACCCAGGGGCUCGGACUCGACCUCGGCCUCGGAAGAUAGACUCGACCUCGACCUCGGAGGAGCCUCCACAUCGCCCAACCUAAGGCACGAACCGACCACGUCAACAGGAGGCGCCAUCAUUACCCUACCCCAAGCUGACUCGGGCUACGGGGAACAAGACCGGCGUCCCAUCUGGCUCGCUCCGCCAGACAAGUAAUGAUGGCGCCCCGCACGCUCUAUGACGACGGCGGCUCCCAGCCCCCUUACGAAAGCAAGAGGACGUCAGCAAGGACUCGACAGCCCCGACAGUUGUCCUUCCACCAGGCUCCAGCGCUCCUCCGACGGCCACGACACCACACGAACCGGGUGCCAAAACCUCUCCGGCUGCCACGAUGGCAUGUACUUAGGGCGCUAGCUCUCCUCCGCUAGACACGUUAGCACUCUGCUACACCCCCCAUUGUACACCUGGAUCCUCUCCUUACGCCUAUAAAAGGAAGGACCAGGGCCCUCUUACAGAGGGUUGGCCGCGCGGGGAAGAGGACGGGACAGGCGCUCGCGUGAGGCCGCUCGCUCCCUCCCGCGUGGACGCUUGUAACCCCCUACUGCAAGCGCACCCGACCCGGGCGCGGGACAAACACGAAGGCCACGGGAUUCCCACCUCUCUCUCUCUCUCUCUCGCUCCGGCUGCCUUUUUCCCCCCUUCGCGCUCCGUCUCGCGCCGACCCAUCUGGGCUGGGGCACGCGGCGACAUCUUCACUCGUCGGCCCAGGGACCCCCCGGUCUCGAAACGCCGACAAAACGGCUCAGAGCCGCAAGGCAUCCCGUGACUCUCUGUACGCCUUUCAAGUCCUUGAUGGGCCCCAUGCUGGUGAUGGCCGCGAUCUUCUCCGGGUUGGCCUCGAUGCCCCGCUCGGAGACGAUGAACCCCAAGAGCAUGCCUCGGGGAACCCCGAAGACACACUUCUCGGGAUUGAGCUUCACGCCUUUCGCCUUGAGACAUCGGAAUGUCACUUCAAGGUCGGAAAGGAGGUCGGAGGCUUUCCUCGUCUUGACUACGAUGUCAUCGACGUAGGCCUCGACCGUUCGGCCAAUGUGUUCGCCGAACACAUGGUUCAUGCACCGUUGGUACGUUGCACCCGCAUUCCUCAAGCCGAACGGCAUGGUGACAUAGCAGUACAUGCCGAAGGGUGUGAUGAAAGAAGUCGCGAGCUGGUCGAACUCUUUCAUCCUGAUUUGAUGAUACCCUAAGUAGGCAUCGAGGAAAGACAGGGUUUCGCACCCAGCAGUGGAGUCCACAAUUUGGUCGAUGCGAGGCAGAGGGUAGGGAACCUUCGGACAUGUUUUGUUUAGACCAGUGUAGUCUACACACAUCCGCCAUUUCCCUCCUUUCUUUCUCACAAGCACAGGGUUGGCAAGCCAUUCGGGAUGGAAUACCUCUUUGAUGAACCCUGCCGCCAUUAGCUUGCGGAUCUCCUCGCCUAUGGCUCUGUGCUUUUCUUCGUCGAAUCGGCGCAGAGGAUGCUUCACGGGUCGGGCUCUAGCUCGGAUAUCCAGCGAGUGCUCGGCGACAUCGCUCGGUAUGCCGGGCAUGUCCGAGGGACUCCACGCGAAAACGUCGGCGUUUGCGCGGAAAAAGUCGACGAGCACUGCUUUCUAUUUGGGAUCGAGCUCGGAGCCGAUCCGAAUCUGCUUGGAGGCGUCGCUGCUGGGGUCGAGGGGGACGGAUUUAACCGUCUCCGCUGGCUCGAAGUUGUCGGCAUGGCGCUUCACAUCUGGCACCUCCUUCGAGAGGCUCUCCAGGUCGGCGAUGAGGGCCUCGGAUUCGGCGAGGGCCUCGGCGUACUCCACGCACUCCACGUCGCAUUCGAACGCGUGUCGGUACGUGGGGCCGACGGUGAUGACCCCGUUGGGGCCCGACAUCUUGAGCUUGAGGUAGGUGUAGUUGGGGACGACCAUGAACUUCGCGUAGCAUGGCCUCCCCAGCACUGCGUGGUAGGUUCCUCGGAACCCGACCACCUCGAACGUGAGGGUCUCCCUUCGGAAGUUGGAGGGUGUCCCAAAGCAGACGGGAAGAUCGAGUUGUCCGAGGGGCUGGACGCGCUUCCCGGGGAUGAUCCUGUGGAAAGGCGCAGCGCCUGCCCGGACCGAGGACAGAUCAACACGCAGGAGCCCGAGGGUCUCGGCGUAGAUGAUGUUGAGGUUGCUACCUCCGUCCAUGAGGAACUUGGUGAGCCUGACGUCACCGAUGACGGGGUCGACAACGAGCGGGUAUUUCCCCAGGCUCGACACGCGGUCGAGGUGGUCAGCUCGGUCGAAGGUGAUGGGCUUGUCGGACCAGUCUAGGUAGACUGGCGCCGCCACCUUUACCGAAUAGACCUCCCGACGCUCUUGCUUGCGGUGCUGAGCCGAGGCGUUCGCCGCUUGCCCACCGUAGAUCAUGAAGCAGUCGUGGACCUCGGGGAACUCUCCUGCCUGGUGAUCUUCCUUCUUGUCGUCGUCGCGAGCCCUGCCACCCUCCACGGGUGGCCCGGCCCUGUGGAAGUGGCGCCGGAGCAUGGCGCACUCCUCAAGAGUGUGCUUAACGGGCCCCUAAUGAUAGGGGCACGGCUCUUUGAGCAUCUUGUCGAAGAGGUUGGCACCUCCGGGGGGUUUCCGAGGGUUCUUGUACUCGGCGGCGGCGACAAGGUCCGCGUCGGUGGCGUCGCGUUUCGCUUGCGACUUCUUCUUGCCUUUCUUCUUGGCGCCGCGCUGAGUUGACGCCUCGGGGGCAUCUUCCGGUGGGCGGCCCUGGGGCUGCUUGUCCUUCCGGAAGAUAGCCUCAACCGCCUCCUGGCCAGAGGCGAACUUGGUGGCGAUGUCCAUCAGCUCGCUCGCCCUAGUGGGGGUCUUUCGACCCAGCUUGCUCACCAGGUCGCGGCAGGUGGUGCCGGCGAGGAACGCGCCGAUGACAUCUGAAUCGGUGAUGUUGGGCAGCUCGGUGCGCUGCUUCGAGAAUCGUCGGAUGUAGUCCUGGAGAGACUCUCUCGGCUGCUGUCGGCAGCUCCGGAGAUCCCAGGAGUUCCUAGGGCGCACGUACGUGCCCUGGAAAUUGCCGGCGAAGGCUUGGACCAGGUCGUCCCAGUUGGAGAUUUGUCCCGGAGGCAGGUGCUCCAACCAGGCGCGAGUGGUGUCGGAGAGGAACAUGGGGAGGUUGCGGAUGAUGAGGUUGUCAUCGUCCGUUCCACCCAGUUGGCAGGCCAGCCGAUAGUCCGCGAGCCACAGUUCCGGUCUCGUCUCCCCCGAGUACUUUGUGAUAGUAGUCGGGGUUCGGAACCAGGUCGGGAACGGCGCCCGUCGUAUGGCGCGGCUGAAAGCCUACGGACCGGGUGGUUCGGGCGAGGGACUCCGAUCUUCCCCGCUGUCAUAGCGUCCCCCACGCCUGGGGUGGUAGCCUCGGCGCACCCUCUCGUCGAGGUGGGCCCGACGAUUGCGGUGAUGGUGCUCGUUGCCGAGGCGGCCCGGGGCCGCAGGCGCUGUGUUGCGCGUGCGCUCGGUGUGGACCGAGGCUUCCCGCAUGAAUCGGGAAGUCGCGGCGCGAUGUUCCGAGGGGUACCCCUGCCUUCGGGAGGCGGAGCUUUCGGCCCGUCGGACCGCGGCGUCCUCCAGGAGAUUCUUGAGCUCUCCCUGAAUUCGCCGCCCCUCGGUGGUUGAUGGCUCCGACAUCGCGCGGAGAAGCAUUGCCGCUGCAGCCAGGUUCUGGCCGACUCCACUAGAAGUGGGUGGCGGCCUUACCCUAACAUCGUCGGCGAUGCGGUGCUGGAUACCCUGGGGUAGAUGACGCACUUCUCCGGCCGGAGGUUGGCCCGCCCAUUCCUGCCCGACGUCCAGGCGGAUCGGCUCAAGUGUUCCUGCUCCCUUGUCGAGCCUGGCCUGCACCCCGCGGAUUUGCUCGAGAUGUGGGUCAUGACCCCCCGCCGGAACGGGGACCACAACUAGCUCCCGUAGGAUGUCAACGCGAGGCACAGGCCUAGGGAGAUCACCGUUCUCCAGCAUACCAAGAUGGUUGCCUUCGAAGGGACCCCCUAGAUCGACGUGGAAACAUUCAUGACUUGGGCCGCAGUCCUCGUCGCCGAGGCUGCGGCUACCGUCAGAACAGUCGGAAAGACAGUAGUCGCAUGCGGUCAUGAAGUCCCGCAUAGCACUGGGGUUACCAAGUCCGGAGAAAUCCCAACAGAAGUUGGGCUCGCCAUCUUCCUCGGACCCCGAGGGCCCGUAGGUCGAGACGCCCGUCAGCCGGUCCCAGGGUGACCGCAUACGAUACCCCAGAGGGUUUGGACUCGCCCCUACGAGAGCGUCCGCCAAAGCGAAGUCACUUGGCGGGUCGAGGCUGAAUCCAAAAGGCGUGAGAUGGGAAUCGGUGGGUACCUCUUGGUCGACGGGCGGUGACGAAGUCACGUCAGGGACUGACUGCACCGUCGUCCCAGGUACGAGGGUGACGCCCAGCAAGCCUUUCGCGAGCGUGCUGGCGUCGUCCGUUUGCUUGGGAUUGGCGUGUUGCGGGGAGACGACGCUCGUCUUCGUCUCAGACGCGAGGUCGAUGCCCGACGUGCCGCCCGUUGGGGCGCCGGCGCCGUCGACUCGCUCGACAGCCGACGAGGUGCCGCCUCCUGCUUGGCCUUGGUUGCCCCGCCUCCUCCUCCGUCGGCGGGGGAGGGGACGGGGUGAGCUCGAAUGUUGUUCUUCCACCACGCGGGGAAGACGUCGUCAAUUCCACCGCCGGCGGGCGGGCUGUCGGCCGCCAUUGUCGCUGUCGCACGGCGGGGGAAGGAGUAUCAUGUCGUAGCUGCCGUCGAGGGACAUGAACUCAAGACUCCCGAAAUGGAGCACCGUCCCGGGCCGGAAAGGUUGCUGGAGACUGCCCAUCUGGAGCUUGACGGGAAGCUGUUCGUCAACACGCAGCAGGCCCCUACCUGGCGCGCCAACUGUUGGCGUUUCGGAACCCGGGGGUCCCUGGACCGACGAGUAAACUAUCGCCGUGUGCCCUAGCCCAGAUGGGUCGGCGCGAGACGGAGCGCGAAGGGGGGAAGGCAGCCGGAGGGAGACGGGCGUGAGAGGUGGAAAUCCCGCGGCCUUCGUGUUUGUCCCGCGCCCAGGUCGGGUGCACUUGCAGUAGGGGGUUACAAGCGUCCACGCGGGAGGGAGCGAGCGGCCUCACGCGAGCGCCUGUCCCGUCCUUCCCCGUGUGGCCAACCCUCUGUAAGAGGGCCCUGGUCCUUCCUUUUAUAAGCGCAAGGAGAGGAUCCAGGUGUACAAUGGGGGGUGUAGCAGUGUGCUAACGUGUCUAGCGGAGGAGAGCUAGCACCCUAAGUACAUGCCAUCGUGGCAGCCGGAGAGGUUUUGGCACCCGGUUCGUGUGGUGUCGUGGCCGUCGGAGGAGCGCUGGAGCCUGGCGGAAGGACAGCUGUCGGGGCUGUCGAGUCCUUGCUGACGUCCUCUUGCUUCCGUAAGGGGGCUGAGAGCCGCCGUCGUCAUAGAGCGUGUGGGGCGCCAUCAUUACUUGUCUGGCGGAGCGAGCCAGAUGGGACGCCGGUCUUGUUCCGUGUAGCCUGAGUCAGCUUGGGGUAGGGUAAUGAUGGCGCCUCCUGUUGAUGUGGUCGGUCCGUGCCCUGGGUUGGGCGAUGUGGAGGCUCCUCCGAGGUCGAGGUCGAGUCUGUCUUCCGAGGCCGAGGUCGAGUCCGAGCCCCUGGGUCGGGCGAGGCGGAGACCGUCGGCUGAGGCCAGGGCUUGAGUCCGAGCCCUGGGGUCGGGCGAAGCGGAGUUCGUCGUCUUCCGAGGCUGAGCCCGAGUCCGAGCCCUAGGGUCGGGCGAAGCGGAGUUCGUCGUCUUCCGUGGCUGAGCCCGAGUCCGAGCCCUGGGGUCGGGCGAAGCGGAGUUCGUCGUCUUCCGAGGCUGAGCCCGAGUCCGAGCCCUGGGGUCGGGCGAAGCGGAGUUCGUCGUCUUCCGGGGCUGAGCCCGAGUCCGAGCCAUGGGGUCGGGCGAAGCGGAGUUUCCUAUGGCGCUUGAGGCCGGACCUGGCUGCUGUCAGCCUUACUCUGUCGAGUGGCACAGCAGUCGGAGCGGCGCAGGCGGCGCUGUCCUCUUGUCAGACCGGUCAGUGGAGCGGCGAAGUGACUGCGGUCACUUCGGCUCUGUCGACUGGAGGGCGCGCGUCAGGAUAAAGGUGUCAGGCCACCUUUGCAUUAAAUGCCCCUACGAUUUGGUCGGUUGGCGUGGCGAUUUGGCCAAGGUUGCUUCUUGGUGAAGACUGGGCCUUGGGCGAGCCGAAGGUGUGUCCGUUGCUGGAGGGGGGCCUCGGGCGAGACGUAGAUCCUCCGGGGUCGGCUGCCCUUGCCCGAGGCUGGGCUCGAGCGAGGCGUGAUCGCAUCCCUCGAAUGGACCGAUCCUUGACUUAGUUGCACCCAUCAGGCCUUUGCAGCUUUGUGCUGAUGGGGGUUACCAGCUGAGAUUUAGGAGCCUUGAGGGUACCCCUAAUUAUGGUCCCCGACACUAUUGCAAAUGAUUUAUUUGUAUGCCAAAUUUAUGUUGAUGAUAUCAUAUUUGGGUCAUGAUUCAGUAGGAUCAUGAUUCAAAAAUUCGAGAUGUCUAUGAUCGGGGAGUUGAAAUAUUUCUUAGGAUUUCAAGUCAAGCAAAUCCAAGAGGGCACCUUCAUUAGCCAAACAAAGUACAUUCAAGACAUACUCACCAAGUUUGGGAUGAAGGAUGCCAAGCCCAUCAAGACACCCAUGGGAACUAAUGGGCAUCUCAACCUCGACACGGGAGGUAAAUCCGUAGAUCAAAAGGUAUACCGGUCGAUGAUAGGUUCUUUACUCUAUUUAUGUGCAUCUCGACCGGAUAUUAUGCUUUCCGUAUGUGUGCAAGAUUCCAAGCCGAUCCUAGGGAAGUUCACCUUAGGGCCGUAAAACGAAUCUUGAGAUAUUUAGUUUAUACUCCUAAGUUUGGCCUUUGGUACCCCAGGGGAUCCACUUUUGAUUUAAUUGGAUAUUCAGAUGCUGAUUGGACAGGGUGUAAGAUUGAUAGAAAGAGCACAUCAGGGACUUGCCAGUUCUUGGGAAGAUCUCUGGUGUCUUGGGCUUCUAAGAAACAAAAUUUUGUAGCUCUUUCUACCGCUGAAGCCGAGUAUAUUGCCGCAGGCCAUUGUUGCACGCAAUUGCUUUGGAUGAGGCAAACCCUUAGGGACUAUGGUUACAAAUUAACCAAAGUUCCUCUUCUAUGUGAUAAUGAGAGUGCCAUCCGCAUGGCGGAUAAUCCCGUUGAGCACAGCCGCACUAAGCACAUAGCCAUUAGGUAUCACUUUUUGAGGGAUCACCAACAAUGAGGGGAUAUCGAGAUUGCUUAUAUUAACACCAAAGAACAAUUAGCCGAUAUCUUUACCAAGCCAUUAGAUGAGAAAACUUUUACCAAACUUAGGCAUGAGCUAAAUAUUCUUGAUUCUAGGAAUUUUGAUUGAUACCUUGCACACAUAGCUCAUUUCUAUACCUUUGAUGAUCUCUCUUUCAUGUGCUAUGACUAAUGUGUUUUUCAAGUGUAUUUCAUGCUAAGUCAUAGAUUGAAAGGGAAAUGGAGUCCUCGGCGAAGACAAGGCUUCCACGCCACUCCAUCAGAUUAUUCAUCCUUCGUCGUCCCUCCGCACCGCUCUUCAAUUUGGUAUAAUCUUCACCCAUAUAUUAUUUACCAAAGGGGGAGAAUGUUUGAAAAAGGGUUUAUAUUUUACUCACAAGUAUCUAUUUUUGGUGAUUCAUGCCAAAGGGGGAGAAAGUAUUAGCCCAAAGCAAAAGGACCGCACCACCACCAAUUUCAAAAAUGUAGUCUUUCCAAUUUGUAUUAAAAGAAGGUUUUUCAAUUAGUAUCUUAUUCUUGGUAGAAUUUUCAAAUUGGUAUAACCUCUUCAAAAUUAAUAUCUAAAACCCUCUUGAACACUAAGAGGAGAAUUUCAUUGAGGGGGAGUUUUGUUUAGUCAAAGGAAAAGCAUUUGAAACAGGGGGAGAAAAUUUCAAAUCUUGAAAAUGCUUCUCAAAAUCUUAUUCAUUUACCUUUGACUAUUUGCAAAAAGACUUUGAAAAGAAUUUCCAAAAAGAAUUUGCAAAAACAAAACAAGUGGUGCAAGCGUGGUCCAAAAUGUUAAAUAUGAAGAAAGCAUCCAUGCAUAUCUUAUGAAAUGUAUAUUGGUUUAAUUCCAAGUAACCUUUGCACUUACAUUAUGCAAACUAGUUCAAUUCUGCACUUAUAUAUUUGCUUUGGUUUGUGUUGGCAUCAAUCACCAAAAAGGGGGAGAUUGAAAGGGAAAUAGGCUCACACCUUUUCCUAAUUGAUUUUGGUGGUUGAAUUGCCCAACACAAAUAAUUGGACUAACUAGUUUGCUCUAGAUUAUAAGUUCUACAAGUGCCAAAGGUUCAAUACAAACCAAUAAAAAGUCCAAGAAAGGGUUCAAAUAAAAAGAGCAAAAAGACAACCGAAGGCUGCCUUGGUCUGGCGCACCAGACUGUCCGGUGUGCCACCAGACAGUGUCCAGUGCACCAGGGAGAUCAACUCCAAACUUGCCACCUUCGGGAAUUUGGGAAGCCACUCCGCUAUAAUUCACCGGACUAUCCGGUGUAGCACCGGACUGUCCGGUGUGCCAAGCGGAGCAAUGGUCGUCAAUGCAACGGUCGAGUUCAACAGUCGGCUGACAACGCUACAGUGUGCGAACUGCGCGCGCAGAAGUCAGAGCAUGCGCAGAUGGCGCACCGUACAGUGAACAGGACAUGUCCGGUGCACCACCGGACUGUUCGGUGGCCCACAUGUCAGAAGCUCCAACGGUCAAACCCUAACGGUUGGGUGACGUGGCUAGCGCACCGGACAGUGUCCGGUGGCGCACCGGACAGUGUCCGGUGGCGCACCGGACUGUCCGGUGCGCCCUUCGACAGCAGAGUUCCCCAACGGCCAUUUUGGUGGUUGGGGCUAUAAAUACCCCCCAACCACCACUCUUCAAGGCAUCCAAGCAUUCACUACUCCUCAUUCAAUACAAGAGCAAUACACAACACUCCAAGACACAAAUCAAAGCCUCCGAUCAAAUCAAAGUCCACAAUUCAACUCUAGUUUUUAGGACUUGUGAGAAGAUCGACUUGUGUUCUUUUGUUGUUCUUGUUGCUUGGUUCGCUUUCUUUUUUCUCUCAUUCUUACUCUCAAAGCCUUGUAAGCAAAGCAAGAGACACCAAUUGUGUGGUGGUCCUUGUGGGGUCUAAGUGACCCGGGAAAUCAAGGAAGGAAGCUCACUCGGUCUAAGUGACCAUUUCAGAGAGGGAAAGGGUUGAAAGAGACCCGGUCUUUGUGACCACCUCAAAGGGGAGUAGGUUUGCAAGAACCGAACCUUAGUAAAACAAAUCACCGUGUCAUCCGCUCUUAUUCGCUUGUGAUUUGUUUUCACCCUCUCUUUCGGACUCGAUUAUAUUUCUAACGCUAACCCCGACUUGUAGUUGUGCUUAAAGUUUAUAAAUUUCAGAUUUGCCUAUUCACCCCCCUCUAGGCGACUUUCAACAUCGGACUGUUCGGUGCCACCAGAAGACAAAGCUCCAACGGUCGAAACCGUCAGAACCCUAACAGUUGGGUGAUGUGGCUGGCGCACCGGACUGUCCGGUGCGCCCAUCGACAGCAGCCUACUCCAACGGUUGAAUUGGUGGUUGGGGGCUAUAAAUACCCCCAACCACCUCCACUCCAACCAUCCAAGCAUUCACUACUCCUCAUUCAAUACAAGAGCAAAAUACAACACUCCAAGACACAAAUCAAAGCCUCCGAUCCAAUCAAAGUCCACAAUUCAACUCUAGUAUUUUAGGACUUGUGAGAAGAUCGUCUUGUGUUCUUUGUUGCUCUUGUUGCUUGGUUGGCUUUCUUCUUUCUCUCAUUCUUACUCUCAAAGACUUGUAAGCAAAGCAAGAGACACCAAUUGUGUGGUGGUUCUUGUGGGGUCUAAAUGACCCGAGAAAUCAAGGAAGAAAGCUCACUCGGUCUAAGUGACUAUUUGAGAGAGGGAAAGGGUUAAAAGAGACCCGGUCUUUGUGUCCACCUCAAUGGGGACUAGGUUCUUUGGAACCUAACCUCGGUAAAACAAAUCACCGUGUCAUCCUCUUUAUUUUGUUGGUUGAUUUGUUUUCCUCUCUCUCCCGUACUUAACUUUUAUUCUAACGCUAACCCCGGCUUGAAGUGUGCUUAAAGUUUGUAAAUUUCAGCUUCCGCCUAUCCACCCCCUCUAGGCGACUUUCAAUUGGUAUCAGAGCUUGGUACUUUAUUAGUGUCGGUGUUUCGGACCCGGGGGGUCCCUGGACCGACGAGUAAACUUGUCGCUGCGUGCCCCUGCCCAGAUGGGUUGGCGCAAGAUGGAACACAAGGGGAAAGCGCGGCUUGUGUUAUCUCGCACCAGGGGGUGUGCUCGUAGUAGGGGUUACAAGCGUUCGCGAGAGAGAGAGUGAGCCUGUUCAUUAGCUCAUUCCCCCCGCGCGACCCUCCCGCAUGAAGGCCCUGGACCUCCCUUUUAUAGAUGCAAGGAGAGGGUCUAGGUGUACAAUGGGGGUGUAGCUAUGCGCUAACGUGUUUGGCCGAGAGGUGCCUGAGCCCUGUGUACAUGCCAAUGUGGCUGUUGGAGAGGUGCUAGAGCCCUGUGUACACGGUAACGUGGCUGUCGGAGAAGUGCCUGAGCCCUAUAGAAGCGCAGCUGUCGGUGCUGCUGGGAUCCUACUGACGUCUCCUUGCUUCCGUACAGGGCUGAGAACCACCAUCGUCAUGGACGCACGCGGGGAGCCAUCAUUACUUGUUACCGGGGCGAGCUAGAUGGGACGCCGGUCUUGUUCCCUUGUAGCCUGAGCUAGCUAGGGGUAGGGUAAUGAUGUAUCCCCCCAUGGCGCGGUUGGUUCGAGCCCAAGGUCAGGCGAUGCAGAGACUUCUCCUGAGGCCGAGACCGGGGUCGGGUGAGGACGCGAUUCCGCCCGAGGCCAAGGUCGAGGCCGAGCCCUGGGGUCGGGCGAGGCGGAGACCUCCUUCCGAAGCUGAGGUUGAGGCUGAGCCCUGGGGUCGGGCGAGGCGGAGACCUCCUUCCGAGGCCGAGGCCUAAGGUCGGGCGAGGCGGAGCUUCCUGUUGCGCCCGAGGCUGAACUUGGCUGUUGUCAGCCUCGCCCUGGUGGGUGGCACAGCAGUCGGAGCGGGGCGAGCGGCGCUGUUUUCCUGUCAGGUCGGUCAGUGAAAGGGCGAAGUGACUACGGUCACUUCGACCUUUCCGACUGAGGCACGCGUGCCAGGAUAAGGUGUCAGGCGAUCCCCGCAUUGAAUGCGCCUGCGAUACGGUCGGUUGGUGAGGCGAUUUGGCCAAGGUUGCUUCACAACGAAGCCUGUCCGAGCUGGGCUUCGGGCGAGUCGAGGGCACGCCCGUCGCCUGAGGAGGCCCUUGGGCGAGGCAUGAAUUCGUCCGGGACUACUGUUCCCGCCCGAGGCCGGGCUCGGGCGAGGCAAGAUUGCGUCCCUUGGUAGACGAGGCCUUGACUUGAAUCGCGCCCAUCAGUCUUUGCGGUUUGUGCUAAUGGUGGUUACCAGACGUGUUUAGGAGUGUUGGGGGUACCCCUAAUUACGGUACCCAAUAGUAGCCCCCGAGCCUCAAAGGGAGUGUUGGUACUCGCUUGGAGGCUUUACCGCACUUCUUUGCGAGGGGACCGGCCUUUCUCGGUUAUACUUUGUUCCGGUGGGUGCGCGCGAGCGCACCCGACGGGAUUAGCUCCCGAGGCCUCGGAGGAGUGGUUUGAUUCCUCUGAGGUCUUAAUGCUUUUCGUGAUGCCUUGGCCAGCCUGGUUGUUCCCUCAUGCGUCCUGGCCAUAGCCCGGGUGCAUGGUCGGGUUCUGAGUUUCUGAGCUGGUUUGUUGACGCUGUGAACAGUUUGGCCGUAGCCGGGUUGCGAGAGCAGCCCCCGAGCCUCUGCACGGAGCGAGAGGACGAUCAAAGACUGUCUCGACUUUUAUCAUACGCCCAUUCAUCGCCUUUCCGCAAGGAGGAAGAGGGGAAGCGCCAUGUUGCCCUCGGAGGGCGCCGAACAUGGUGUUUCCAGUGAGUUGCUAACGGGUGAUCCGAGUGGACGCCCGUGCCCCGUUCGAUAAGGGUCGGCUAGUGGCCCAGAGGCGCGCUCCAAAAGUACCUGCAGGUGAUUUGCCAGACCCGGACCCAUUCGAUAGGGUCCAAGGGCUCGAUGCCUCCCUCUGAUGGGAUUCCAUUACAAAAUCGCUCCUGCUGGUCUCGGAAAUGUCCUAGGGUACCUUGGGAGCGUAGCCCGAGCCUCGGCCAUGUAACAGACGUACCUAGAGUCAUCCCUCACUCUGCGUGUUCUGGAGCGGCUGUCGAACCCUUCCGAGGGGCCAGCCUUCGAACCCCUGAUCAGUAGUGGGCGUGGAGCCCGAGUGCUCUGGGGCAGUUGUCGAACCCUUCCAAGGGGCCAGCCUUUGAACCCCUGAUCAGUAAUGGGCUUGGAGCCCGAGUGCUCUGGGGCGGCUGUCGAACCCUUCCGAGAGGCCAGCCUUCGAACCCCUGAUCAGUAGGAGGGCUCGGGGCCCACUUCCUUCGCGGAGAAGGAUCCCUUUCGAAAUAUCCCCUUUCCCGGUCCUUGUAGCAAGAGAGAGAAAGGGGAAGAGGAAAAGGAUAUGAAUUUAAAUGGUGUGGCGCACCUUUUUUGACGCGAUCAUUAUGGCGGAGGUGAAACGACGCCUGCUUCGCCUGCCAAAGGUGUCGCUUGCCCUGCCGAGGAGUUAAUGCGAUGGGACGGGCGAUUCGCGGGCGGCCGCGUGCGCGAUUCGUUCGAGGAACGGAACACGGGUGUGUCGUCUUCACGCCGUGGGAGAGGGCUCCCCUGCCGCUUCAGGAGGGGACGCGAGCCUGCAAGCGAUUCGACCGCUGCUUCCGCCCAUCUGCUGCAAUUACUGCCGGUCCACUUUUGGCCAUAUUAACUGUCGCGCCUCCUCCCACGGCUGACUGACCUGUGCUCGAUUGGCACUGUUGGGUCGUGCGCAGGGCUGCCUCGAGUCGCGGCACCGGUUCCGCAGUCGAGAAGGCGCGGCAUUGGCGCAAGUGGCGGUGCGGUUUCUUGCAUGUAGUAACCGACGCGCCGGUUACAUGACGUGUGGGCCUGGGCCUCCAUGCCGGAUGUGACGAAGCCGAAGGGGUGCGCCACCGCGGUGCGGUUGCACGCCACCUGCAUGGCGGUCCGCCUUUCCGACCGCUGGUUUCGGCGAGGAUGGAGAAGUGCUCGUAACCACGGGGCGGUUACAUGCUCCGCGUGCGGCGGUUUGGCUUCUUCCAUUUUGGGUCAGCUUGCAUGACGUGUGGGACCCAGCCCCCGUGUCGUAGGGGGAGGACCCUAGAGCACGUCGGUGAAGUCUUUGCCCAUGACGCUUGAGAAUGCGAGUAGGGAGAGCCGCCUUUAAAAAGGGAUCGAUCCCCACGACGGUAGCCAUGCCUUCGCACUCCCCUCAUGCAUCACGCCCUUCCACCUUCCGAGCCCCCGGAUGGGGAGCACCCGCGUUGCUUUCGUCUUGCUGCUGUUGGAGGAGCGCGACCUCGCGGGGGUUGGCGCCCUUCAGCCAUCGCUCGACUUCAAGGAUUUUCAUCAUGCAGCCCGGCUGCAUUCCCUCACCAAUGGUCAUCCAGGAUGAUGACCACCAGUUUGGUAGUGGGGAGAAGCAAGCCAGGCUGCGGCCUCUGCCCCGCCCUCAGCUUCAAGGAUCUUCAUCAUCCGUGCUGGGGAGGAGGGCGGGGCGAGUCGGGGCCUACCUCCGCGUGGGCCGACGACCCGCUUCUUCCUCCGGCAUUCGGGGGAGGCGUCCUCCAGCCAUGCGGGGGAAGGCGAACUACCGCUGCUGGGCCAGGAUGCGGCUGUCCGUCCUCCACCCGGGUGGCGGCCGUGCCGCGCGUGGGCCGGCCACGUCCAGGUUUCCCCGCGCCGUCGGCUGCACCGGGGGGUCGCACAACACGCCGCACACCGCGAGGGCGGCACUCGUGUUAUGGGAUGGCCCCAUUCUCGUUCUUGUGGCGAGAAUGGGAGUGAGGACCUGCCAGUGCGCUUUGGGGCGACCGCCGCUUGCUGGUGCGGUGUUGGUGGGCAAGUGGCUGCCGUCGUCGGUGCUGAGGUGGUGGCAGCCAGAGAAGGUUUCUCCGCCGACGAGACCGUCGGCGCCACCUGCGGUCGGACCCCGGCUCUUUGGCUUUGAUGGCUUGUCCUCGCCCCUCGUGUGGGGGCGUGGGCGAGGGCCUUUCCACAGCAGCGUUUGCCCUGAGGUCAUCGCUGCUGCUGUUUAGCCGCCCGAAGCGGAGGUCAUUGUCGCUGCUGGUGCAGUGGUCGCCGGCGAGCCACCUAGAGUUUGUUGUCCCGCAGGCCCUCUGGUGUGGAGGUUGUUCAUACCCGCGGGAGUGGAACCGGAGUCCCAUUUGUAAUGGUACCCUGAGUAUGGGUGUUUGUUCAUUGUGGCUGUCGAGGCCUGAACAUCUGGGUAUUUGAGCGUAAUACCGUGUUUCUCCCUUAUUUCGAGUACUAGGACUCACCUGUCGGCUAGCUGAACUGCUUAACCGAGCGUGAGUUGCCUUGCGCGGAAGGUGACGAGUGAGGUAUCUGUAUCCCGGAGGUGUAGGAGUCUCUCGGCUCGGUCGGCCUUGCCGUUUAAGGCCUCUCGUGCUCAGUUUCAGAACCUUCGUCCGCUCUGCGAUCAGCUGGAGCCGAAGGCAGCGGUGUCGGCGUGGACAGAGGCGGAGUCGGCUCGAAAAGAGGCUUCGUCGGCCUAGUAGCAGGUGGCUUCCUAGGCCGAGGAGGUGCAGCAGCGGCGGCUGGAGCUUGGCCAGGGCAUCCGCGAGCGGGACCAACCUCGGAGUCAUGCUGCCGAGGCUGUGAGCCGGGCCGAGGUCCCCGGGGGAUAGCUGGCUGAGGCUACGGAGCGGCCAACCAAGGUGUCUGCUCGGGCUGGGGCCCUGGCGGAGACCCGCGCUGUGAGGGCCCAAGCACGGUGCUGGCGUUCUCCUUCGAGGUGGAGAUCCUUCCGCCCGUGUCGCCAUCCGAGGCCGGGCCAGAUUCCACCGAAGGUGGAAACGACACCGAGGGUGCUGCUGCUCCCUCUGCCGAUGUCUGAACCUGCAGGAACAGUUUGUCUGUAGUAUGCGUAUGUUUUUUGCGGCCGCCGAGGCCUAAACAUCUCAUUGUCGUAUUAUAAAGUUGCGCUUACUUUCCUCUUGUUUCGAGUAUCAGGACUUGUUCGUCGGUAGCAUAAUCGCUUAUCCGAGCGAGAGUUACUUUUUGCGGAAGGUGAUGAGUGAGGUAUCCAUAUCCUGGAGGCGUAGGAGUCCCUCGGCUCGGUCGGCCUUACCGCUUACGUGCACUCUUACUCGUUUGCAGGAUUCCGUUAUCGAUAUAGUCGUGAAGGCACGAAAGUCGUUCUGGCAGAAAAGAUUUCGAGCGUUAGGACUCAUUCGGUAGCAGAAUCGCUUAUCCAAGCGUGAGUUACUUAUCGCGGAAGGUGAUGAGUGAGGUAUCCGUAUCCCGGAGGCGUAGGAGUCCCUCAGCUCGGUCGGCCUUGCCGCUUACGUGUACUCUCGUCGUUUUCAGGAUCCCGCUAUCGAAACAGUCGAAAAGCGCGAAAGACGUUCUGGCAAAAGACUUUUCCGAGGAAAAUUUUGACGCAGAGGGGGUUCCCCCCUUCUAGCCCCCGAGGGAGGGUCAGGCUUUGCCGAGGCAAGGCUGACCCUUCCUUAACGGUUAGACUUUCUUUGUGUAUGUAAAGAGAACGAGGUAUAUGAACGAUUUGAAACAUCUUACAGGUAGAAGCGACGUAGCUGUUGGAUGUUCCAAGCGUUGUUGUAUACCUCACCUUGAUCGUUGGCUAGCUUGUAUGUUCCGGGCUUCAAAAUCUUGGCGAUGAUGAACGUCCCUUCCCCAGGGAGAAGUAAGCUUGUGGCGCCCUCGGGCGUCCUGCCGCAGCCGAAGUACCAAGUCUCCCACCUGGAAGCCUCGGGGUCGAACCCCUUGGGCGUGGUAGCGUCGCAGAGACUGCUGAUAUCGCGCCGAGUGUAGUAAGGCCAUGUCCCGAGCCUCUUCGAGCUGGUCCAGUGAGUCUUCUCGGCUGGUCUGGUUGCUUCGGUCGUCGUACGCCUUUGUCCUCGGGGAACCGUAUUCUAAGUCUGUGGGUAAGAUAGCCUCGGCCCCAUAGACUAGAAAGAACGGCGAGAAACCCGUGGCUCGGCUUGGCGUUGUCCUCAGACUCCAGACCACCGAGGGUAGCUCCUUCAUCCACCGCUUGCCAAACUUGUUGAGGUCAUUGUAGAUCCUCGGUUUAAGUCCCUGCAAAAUCAUACCGUUGGCACGCUCCACCUUCCCAUUUGUCAUGGGGUGAGCUACGGCGGCCCAGUCCACACGGAUGUCGUGGUCCUCGCAGAAGUCCAGGAACUUCUUCCCAGUGAACUGCGUGCCAUUGUCGGUGAUGAUGGAGUUUGGGACCCCAAAGCGAUGGAUGAUGUUUGUGAAGAACGCCACCGCCUGCACGGACCUGAUGCUGGUUAGGGGUUGGACCUCGAUCCACUUGGAGAAUUUGUCGAUGGCGACCAGCAGGUGCGAGAAGCCCCCGGGUGCCUUCUGCAAGGGACCAACGAGGUCCAGACCCCACACUACAAACGACCAGGUGAUGGGUAUUGUCUGCAGGGCCUGAGCGGGCAGGCACAUCUGUCUUGCGUAGAAUUGACACCCUUGACAGGAGCGUACAAUCCUAGUGGCGUCGGCCACCACGGUCGGCCAGUAGAAACCUUGUCGGAAGGCGUUCCCCACGAGGGCUCGAGGUGCUGCAUGGUGACCGCAAGCCCCCGAGUGUAUUUCUUGCAAUAGCUCCUGUCCUUCAGCGACGGAUAUGCAUCGUUGGAGAAUGCCUGAGGGGCUGCAGUGGUAGAGCUCCUUUUCAUCACCCAGUAAGACGAACGACUUGGCGUGCCGCACCAGUCGCCGAGCUUCUGCCUUAUCGAGGGGUAGCUCUCCUCGGAGGAGAUAUUCCAGGUACGGGGCCUGCCAGUUCGGGCUAGGCGUGACCCCAUUCCGCUCUCCCUCGAUGCGCAGUGCCUCACCCUCGGCGGCCGAGGAUACCUCGAGCUGGGCCGAGGCCUCCUCGGGCUGGGUCGAGGCCUCCACGGGCUCGGGCGUGUCAUCGAUCUUGACAGAGGGUUGAUGUAUGUCUCUGGAGAAGACGUCCGAGGGAACCGUUGUCUGCCCCGAGGCUAUUUUAGCCAGCUCAUCCGCAGUCUCGUUGUACCGUCGAGCGAUAUGGUUGAGCUCGAGCCCGUAGAACUUGUCUUCCAGGCUUCGAACUUUGUCGCAGUAGGCCUCCAUCUUCUGGUCGCGGCAGUGGGAGUUCUUCAUGACUUGGUCAAUGACAAGCUGCAAGUCGCCACGAGCGUCGAGGCGCCAAACCCCUAGCUCGAUGGCGAUGCACAACCCAUUAACCAGAGCCUCGUACUCGGCCAUGUUGUUUGACGCCGGGAAAUGGAGGCGCAACACGUAGCGAAGAUGUUUCCCGAGGGGUGAGAUGAAGAGCAGGCCAGCACCUGCUCCUGUUUUCAUCAGCGACCCAUCGAAGUACAUGGUCCAAAGCUCCGGUUGGAUCAGAGCUGCGCAGAGAAAGUCGACGAGCAUUGUUUCCUAUUUGGGGUCGAGCUCGGAGCCGAUCCGAACCUUCUUGUCGGCGUCGUUGUUGGGGUCAAGAGGGACGGACUUAACCGCCUCAGCUGGUUCGAAGUUGCCGGCGUGGCGCUUCGCAUCAGGCACCUCCUUGGAGAGGCACUCUAGGUCGGCGAUGAGGGCCUCGGACUCGGCGAGGGCCUCAGCGUACUCCACGCAUUCCACGUUGCAUUCAUACGCGUGGUGGUAUGUGGAUCCGACGGUGAUGACCCCGUUGGGGCCUGGCAUCUUGAGCUUGAGGUACGUGUAGUUGGGGACGGCCAUGAAUUUGGCGUAGCACGGUCUCCCCAGCACUGCGUGGUAGGUUCCUCGGAACCCGACCACCUCGAACGUGAGGGUUUCCUUUCGGAAGUUGGAGGGAGUUCCAAAGCAGACGGGCAGAUCGAGUUGUCCAAGGGGCAGGAUGCGCUUCCCAGGGAUGAUCCCGUGAAAGGGCGCCGCACCAGCCCGGAUCGUGGACAAAUCGAUCCCCAAGAGCCCGAGGGUCUCGGCGUAGACGAUGUUGAGGCUGCUGCCCCCAUCCAUGAGGACCUUGGUGAGCCUGGUGUUGCCGAUGACGGGGUCGACAACAAGCGGGUACCUUCCUGGGCUCAGCACGCAGUCGGGGUGGUCGCCUUGGUCGAAGGUGAUGGGCUUGUCGGACCAGUCUAGGUAGACUGGUGCCGCCACCUUUACCGAGCAGACCUCCCGGCGCUCCCGCUUGCGGUGCCGAGCUGAGGCGUUCACCACUUGCCCACCGUAGAUCAUGAAGCAGCCGUGGACCUCGGGGAACUCCUCUUCCUUGUCGCCCCCCUUCUUGUUGUUGUAGUGGCCCUUGCCAUCUCCCGCCUGGGUCCUGGAUUUAUGGAAGUAGCGCUGAAGCAUGACGCAUUCCUCAAGGGUGUGCUUGAUGGGACCCUAGUGAUAGGGGCAUGACUCCUUGAGCAUCUUGUCGAACAGGUUGGCCCCUUCGGGAGGCUUCCGAGGGUUCCUGUGCUCGGCAGCAGCGGCAAGAUCUGCGUCGGCGGCGUCGCGCUUCGCUUGCGACUUCUUCUUGGCCUUCUUCUUUGUGCCACGCUGGGCGGACGCCUCGGGGACGUCUUCCUGCUGGCGUCCCUGAGGCUGCUUGUCCUUCCGGAAGAUGGUUUCGACCGCCUCCUGACCAGAGGCAAACUUGGUGGCGAUGUCCAUCAACUCGCUCGCCUUGGUGGGAGUCUUGCGGCCUAGUUUGCUCACCAGGUCGCGGCAAGUGGUGCCGGUGAGGAACGCCCCAAUGACAUCCGAGUCGGUGAUGUUGGGCAGCUCGAUGCGCUGCUUCGAAAACCGCCGGAUGUACUCCCGUAGGGAUUCCCCUGGCUGCUGGAGGCAGCUUCGGAGAUCCCAUGAGUUCCUAGGGCGCACGUACGUGCCCUGGAAGUUCCUAGCGAAGGCCUUGACCAGGUCGUCCCAGUUGGAGAUCUGCGCAGGAGGCAGAUGCUCCAGCCAGGCCCGGGCGGCGUCAGAGAGGAACAGGGGGAGGUUGCGGAUGAUGAGGUUGUCGUCGUCUGUUCCUCCUAGCUGGCAGGCCAGCAGGUAGUCCGCAAGCCACAACUCCGGCCUUGUUUCCCCCGAGUACUUGGUGAUGGUAGUCGGGGCCCAGAACCGAGCUGGGAACGACGCCCGUCGUAUGGCCCGGCUGAAGACUUGCAGACCUGGUGGUUCGGGCGAGGGGCUCCGAUCCUCCUCACUGUCGUAGCGUCCCCCACGCCUAGGGUGGUAGCCUCGGCGCACCUUCUCGUCGAGGCGGGCUCGACAGUCAUGACGGUGAUGCUCGUUGCCGAGGCGAUCCGGGGCUGUAGGCGUCACAUCCCGCGUGCACCCGGUGUGGACCGUGGCCUCCCGCAUGAGUCGGGAAGUCGUUGCGCGAUGAUCCGGGGGGCACCCUUGCCUUCGGGAGGCAGAGCUUUCGGCCCGUCGGACCGCGGCAUCCUCCAGGAGAUUCUUGAGUUCUCCCUGGAUACGCCACCCCUCGGUGGUGGAUGGCUCCGGCAUUGCCCGGAGUAGUAUUGUCGCUGCAGCCAGAUUCUGGCCGACCCCGCUGGAGGCCGGGGGCAGCCUUGCCCUGGCAUUAUCAAUGAUACGGCGUUGGAUGUCCCGGGCCUGAUGACGCGCUUUUCCGGCGAGUGCUCGGCCUGCCCACUCCUGCUCGAUGUUUUGCCGGAGCUGCACAAGUUGCCCUGUUUCCUCGUCGAGCUUGGCAUGCAUCUCACGGAUUUGCUCGAGUUGUGUGUCCUGACCCCCCGCAGGGACUCGGACCACAGCUAGCUCCCGCGGGAUGUCAACGCGAGAAGCAGGCCCAGGGGGAUCGUCAUCCUCCGGCAUACCAAGGUGGUUGCCUUCGUCGCGACCCCCCAGAUCGACGUGGAAACAUUCGCGACUUGGGUCACAGCCUUCGUCGUCAAGGCUGUGACCAUCAUCAGAGCAACCGGAGAGGCAGUAGUCACACGCGGUCAUGAAGUCUCGCACGGCAAUGGGAUCACGGAGCCCGGAGAAAUCCCACCGGAGUCGGGGUCGUCUUCUUCCUCAGAACCCGGGGGCCCGUAGGUCGAGACGGCCAUCAGUCGGUCCUAAGAUGACCACAUAUGGUACCCCGGAAGGUUAGGAUAUGCCUUUAUGAAAGCGCUCACCAAAGCGGGGUCGCUUGGUGGAUCGAAGCUGAAUCUAAAAGGCACAGGAUGGAAAAAAGACGGUACCUCUUGGUCGAUGGAUGGUGGGGAAGUCGCAUCGGGGACGGACUGCACCGUUAUCUCAGGUACGAGGCUAACGCCCAGCAAGUCCUUCGCGAGUGUGCUGGCGUCAUCUAUCCACUUGGGGUUGGCACGUUGCGGGGAAACGACAUUCGUCGUUGUCUCAGGUACGAGGACAGCGCCCGACAUGUCCCCCGCUAGGGUGCCAGCGUCAUCGACUCGCUCCGGACCGACAACCAAUGAGGCACCGCCUCCUGCCUAGCCACGGUUGCCCCGUCUCCUCCUCCUACGGUGAGGAGGGUGGCGGGACAAACCCGGAUGCUGCUCUUCCGCCAUGGGGGGAAGACGUCGUUGAGUUCGCCACCGUCGGGCGAGCUGACGACCGUCGUUAUUGCUGUCGCGCUGCGGGGGGAGGAGUACCAUGUCGUAGCUACCGUCGAGGGACAUGAACUCGAGACUCCCGAAGCGGAGCACCGUCCCAGGCUGAAGAGGUUGCUGGAGACUACCCAUCUAGAACUCAACGGGAAGUUGUUCGUUAACACGCAGCAGGCCCCUACCUGGCGCGCCAACUGUCGGCGUUUCGGACCCGGGGGGGUCCCUGGACCGACGAGUAAACUUGUUGCUGCGUGCCCCUGCCCAGAUGGGUUGGCGCAAGAUGGAACACAAGGGGAAAGCGCGGCUCGUGUUAUCUCGCACCAGGGGGUGUGCUCGUAGUAGGGGUUACAAGCGUUCGCAAGAGAGAGAGAGAGAGAGUGAGCCUGUUCGUUAGCUCAUUCCUUCCGUGCGACCCUCCCGCAUGAAGGCCCUGGACCUCCCUUUUAUAGAUGCAAGGAGAGGGUCCAGGUGUACAAUGAGGGGUGUAGCUAUGCGCUAACGUGUCUGGCAGAGAGGUGCCUGAGCCCUGUGUACAUGCCAACGUGGCUGUUGGAGAGGUGCUAGAGCCCUGUGUACGCGGUAACGUGGCCGUCGGAGAAGUGCCUGAGCCCUGUAGAAGCGCAGCUGUUGGUGCUGCUGGGAUCCUGCUGACGUCUCCUUGCUUCUGUAGGGGGCUGAGAAUCACCGUCGUCAUGGACGCACGCGGGGAGCCAUCAUUACUUGUUACCGGGGCGAGUCAGAUGGGACGCCGGUCUUGUUCCCUCGUAGCCUGAGCUAGCUAGGGGUAGGGUAAUGAUGUAUCCCCCGUGGCGCGGUCGGUCCGAGCCCAAGGUCGGGCAAGGUGGAGACUUCUCCUGAGGCCGAGGCCGGGGUUGGGCGAGGACGCGAUUCCGCCCGAGGCCGAGGUCGAGGCCGAGCCCUAGGGUCGGGCGAGGCGGAGACCUCCUUCCGAAGCCAAGGUUGAGGCUGAGCCCUGGGGUCGGGCGAGGCGGAGACCUCCUUUCGAGGCUGAGGCCUAAGGUCGGGCGAGGCGGAGCUUCCUGUUGCGCCCGAGGUUGAACUUGGCUGUUGUCAGCCUCGCCCUGGUGGGUGGCACAGCAGUCGGAGCGGGGCGAGCGGCGCUGUUUUCCUAUCAGGUCGGUCAGUGAAAGGGCGAAGUGACUGCGGUCACUUUGACCUUGCCGACUGAGGCACGCGUGUCAGGAUAAGGUGUCAGGCGAUCCCCGCAUUGAAUGCGCCUGCGAUACGGUCGGUUGGUGAGGCGAUUUGGCCAAGGUUGCUUCACAACGAAGCCUGCCUGAGCUGGGCUUCGGGUGAGUCGAGGGCGCGCCCGUCGCCUGAGGAGGCCCUCGGGCGAGGCGUGAAUUCGUCCGGGACUACUGUUCCCGCCCGAGGCCGGGCUCGGGCGAGGCGAGAUUGCGUCCCUUGGUAGACGAGGCCUUGACUUGAAUCGCGCCCAUCAGUCUUUGCGGUUUGUGCUGAUGGUGGUUACCAGCCAUGUUUAGGAGUGUUGGGGGUACCCCUAAUUACGGUACCCGACAAUUAGAGUCUAACCACUCGAAGUGAUGUCGGGAGGAUCCACCAAGAGGGAGAUGAAAAUGGGCACGAGCCACGAGAAGUCUCCAUCAAGGGAGUCCAGCGCCAAAGGAAGGGAGGAAUCACCUCCCCACGUCAAGUCACACCGGAGUGGCGACAAGAAUAAGAAAAUGAAGAAAGUGGUCUACUACUAGACCGAUUCUUUGCCGCCCUCCACAUCCAGCUCCGACACGAUGUCUGUCACUUCUAAGCGCCAUGAGCACAAGAAGUUUAGUAAGAUCCCCCUACGCUAUCCCCGCAUUUCCAAACGCACUCCUUUACUUUCCGCCCCAUUAGGCAAACCACCGGUUUUUUUAUGGUGAAGAUUAUUGUAUGUGGAGUGAUAAAAUGAGGCAUCACCUAACCUCACUCCACACAAGCAUAUGGGAUAUUGUUGAGUUUGGAGCGCAGGUACCAUCCGUGGGGGAUGAAGGAUAUGAUUCGGACGAGGUCGCCCAAAUCCGGCACUUCAACUCCCAAGCCACUACUAUACUCCUCGCCUCUCUAUGUCGAGAGGAGUAUAAUAAAGUGCAAGGGUUGAAGAGUGCCAAGGAGAUUUGGGACGUGCUCAAGCCACACACGAGGGAGAUGAGGUGACCAAGAUCACCAAGCGGGAGACGAUCGAGGGGGAGCUCGGUCGAUUCAUCCUCAACCAAGUAGAGGAGCCACAAGCUAUGUACAACCGGCUCAAGACCUUGGUGAAUCAAGUGCGCAACCUCGGGAGCACAAAAUGGGACGACCAUGAAAUGGUCAAGGUUAUUCUUAGAUCACUCAUAUUUCGUAAUCCUACUCAAGUUCAAUUAAUACGUGGUGAUCCUAGAUAUAAGCUAAUGUCUCCCGAGGAAGUGAUAAGAAAGUUUGUGAGCUUUGAGUUAAUGAUCAAAGGCUCCAAACAAAUCGUCGAGCAAGGCGGCACCUCCACACCCGAGGUGCAACCCGUCGCAUUCAAGGCAACGAAGGAAGAAAAGAAGGAAUCUAUGCCAAGUAGAAUUCCCAUUGACGCCUCCAAGCUCGACAACGAGGAGAUGGCGCUCAUCAUCAAGAGCUUUUGCCAAAUCCUCAAGAAAAGGAGGGGGAAGGACUACAAACCCCGCUCCAAAAGGGUGUGCUACAAGUGUGGUAAGCCCGGUCAUUUUAUCGCUAAAUACCCUAUGUCUAGUGAUAGUGACAGGAACAACGAUAAGAAGGGAAAGAGGAAGGAGAAGAAGUACUACAAGAAGAAGGGCGUCGAUGCCCACAUAUGUCGGGAAUGGGACUCCGACGAGAGCUCCACCGACUCCUCCUCGGACGAGGAUGCCACAAACAUCGCCGUCAACAAGGGACUUCUCUUCCCCAACGUCGACCACAAAUGCUUCAUGGCAAAGGACGAUAAGAAAAAGAAGGUACAAGCUAGAACCAACCCCAAAUAUACUACAUCUAGUGAUGAGGGUAGUUCUAGUGAUGAUGAAGAUAACUUGCUUAGUCUUUUUGCCAACCUUAACAUGCAACAAAAAGAAAAAUUAAAUGAAUUGAUAGGAGCUAUUCAUGAGAAGGAUAAACUUUUGGAUAGCCAAGAGGAAUUCCUUAUUAAGGAAAAUAAAAAAGCAUGUUAAGGUAAAGAAUGCUUAUGCUCAGGAGAUAAAAAAAUGUGAAAACUUGACUAGAGAGCUUAGCAGUUGCCAUAACACCAUUUCCAACCUUAGAACUAAGAAUGAUAGUUUAACUGCUAAGGCUGAAAAAUCAAAUGUUUGUCAUGAUUCAAUUGUCAAUCUUAAAAAUGAAAAUGCUAGUUUAAUUGCUAAGAUUGAUAAAUUGAAUGAAUCAAUUUCUAGCCUUAGGGAUGAAAAUGCUAGAUUAAUUUUUAAGGCUAAAGAUUUAAAUGUUUGCAAUGAUGCUAUUUCCAAUCUUAGAAAUGAGAAUGCUAUUUUAUAUGCUAAGAUUGAAGAAUUAAAUGCUUGUAAACCAUCUACACCUACUGUUGAUCAUGUCUCUAGUUGUACUAGAUGUAGAGAUGUAAAUAUUGAUGCUAUCCAUGAUCACCUUGCUUUAAUUAAACAACAAAAUGAUCACAUAGCUCAACUAAGUACUAAAAUUAAUGAGCAUGAAAUUGAAUAUGAAAAAUUUAAAUUUGCUAGAAGCAUGCUCUAUAGUGGGAGACGCCCUGGCAUCAAGGAUGGCAUUGGUUUCCAACAGGGAAGCAAUGUCAAAUUUAAUGCCCCAAAAGAUUGCCUAAUUUUGUUAAGGGCAAUGCUCCCAUGGCUUAGGAUAACGAGGGUUACAUUUUAUAUCAUGCUGGUUAUCCUAAGCACAAGAUUAGGAGAAUUCAUGCUAGGAAGUCUCAUUCUGAUUCACAUCAUGCUUUUAUGUACAAGAAUGAGGCAUCUAGCUCUAGGCAUUCUACCCAUGUUAAAAUGCAUAAAAAGAAAACUCCUACCGCAUCAAAUGAAUCUAAUGUUUCAUUUAAGAAUUUUGAUGCUUCCUAUGUUUUAACUAACAAAUCAAGCAAGGUAGUUGCCAAAUAUGUUGGGGGCAAACACAAGGGCUCCAAGACUUGUGUUUGGGUACCCAAGGUGCUUGUUUCUAAUGUGAAAGGACCCAAGACCGUUUGGGUACCUAAGAACAAGGCCUAAAACUGUUUUGCAGGUUUAUGCAUCCGGGGGCUCAAGUUGGAUAAUUGAUAGCGAGUGCACAAACCACAUGACAGGAGAGAAAAGAAUGUUCUCCUCCUAUGAGAAAAACGAAGAUCCCCAACAAGCCAUCACAUUCGGGGAUGUAAAUCAAGGUUUGGUCAAAGGACUUGGUAAAAUUGCUAUAUCUCCUGACCAUUCUAUUUCCAAUGUUUUUCUUGUAGAUUCUUUAGAUUAUAACUUGCUUUCAGUUUCUCAAUUAUGCAAAAUGGGUUACAACUGUCUUUUUACGGAUAUAGGUGUUACUGUCUUUAGAAGAAGUGAUGAUUCCGUAGCAUUUAAGGGAGUAUUAGAGGGUCAGGUAUACUUAGUUGAUUUUAAUAGAGCUGAACUCGAUACUUGCUUAAUUGCUAAGACUAAUAUGGGUUGGCUCUAGCAUCGCCGACUAGCCCAUGUUGGGAUGAAGAAUCUUCAUAAGCUUCUAAAGGGAGAACACAUUUUGGGACUAACAAAUGUUCAUUUUGAGAAAGACAGAGUUUGUAGCGCAUGUCAAGCAGGAAAGCAAGUUGGUGCCCACCAUCCACACAAGCACAUCAUGAUAACCGACAGGCCGCUUGAGCUACUCCACAUGGAUUUAUUUGGCCCGAUCGCUUACAUAAGCGUCGGCGGGAGUAAGUAUUGUCUUGUAAUUGUGGAUGACUAUUCUCGCUUCACUUGGGUAUUAUUUUUACAGGAAAAAUCUCAAACCCAAGAGACUUUGAAGGGAUUCUUGAGACGGGCUCAAAAUGAGUUCGGAUUGAGAAUCAAAAUGAUAAGAAGCGACAAUGGGACAGAGUUCAAGAACUCACAAAUAGAAGGCUUUCUUUAGGAAGAGGGCAUCAAGCAUGAGUUCUCUUCUCCCUACACACCUCAACAAAAUGGUGUAGUGGAAAGGAAGAAUAGAACUCUAUUGGACAUGGCGAGGACCAUGAUGAGUACAAGACUCCGGACCGUUUUUGGGCUGAGGCGAUUAACACCGCCUGCUAUUCCAUCAACCGGCUCUACCUUCACCAAAUUCUCAAGAAGACAUCAUACGAACUCCUCACCGGUAAAAAGCCCAAUGUUUCAUAUUUUAGAGUCUUUGAUAGCAAAUGUUUUAUUCUUGUUAAAAGAGGUAGAAAAUCUAAAUUUGCUCCUAAGGCUGUAGAAGGCUUUUUACUUGGUUAUGACUCAAACACAAGGGCAUAUAGAGUCUUCAACAAAUCCACUGGAUUAGUUGAGGUUUCUUAUGACAUUGUGUUUGAUGAAACUAAUGGCUCCCAAGUGGAGCAAGUUGAUCUUGAUGAAUUAGAUGAUGAAGAGGCUCUGUGCGUCGCACUAAGGAACAUGUCCAUUAAGGAUGUGUGUCCUAAGGAAUCCGAAGAGCCUCCACAAGCACAAGAUCAACCGACAUCUUCCAGUCAAGCAUCUCCACCAACCCUAGAUGAGGAUCAAGCUUAAGACAAUGAAGAAUAAGAUCAAGAAGAUGAGCCACCUCAAGAGGAGGACAAUGGUCAAGGCAGAGAUGACAAUGAUCAAGACAAGGAAGAUGAUCAAGAAGUACAGGGUCCAAGACCACCACACCCAAGAGUCCACCAAGCGAUUCAAAGAGAUCACCCCAUGAACUCAAUUCUUGGUGACAUUCAUAAGGGGGUAACCACUCGAUCUCGAGUCACUCAUUUUUGUAAACAUUACUCUUUUGUCUCCUCUAUUGAGCCAUACAGGGUGGAAGAUGCACUAAGAGAUUCAGAUUGGGUGUUGGCAAUGCAAGAGGAGCUCAACAACUUCACGAGGAACGAGGUAUGGCAUUUAGUUCCACGUCCUAACCAAAAUGUUGUAGGAACCAAGUGGGUAUUCCGCAACAAGCAAGAUGAGCAUGGUGUGGUGACAAGGAACAAAGCCCGACUUGUGGCCAAAGGAUAUUCACAAGUCGAAGGUUUGGAUUUCGGUGAAACCUAUGCACCCGUAGCUAGGCUUGAAUCAAUUUGCAUAUUACUUGCCUAUGCUACUUACCAUGGCUUUAAGUUUACCAAAUGAACGUGAAAAGUGCCUUCCUCAAUGGACCAAUCAAGGAAGAGGUCUAUGUUGAGCAACCUCCCGGCUUUGAAGAUAGUGAGUACCCUAACCAUGUUUAUAAACUCUCAAAGGCGCUUUAUGGGCUCAAGCAAGCCCCAAGAGCAUGGUAUCAAUGCCUGCGAGAUUUCCUUAUCACUAAUGGCUUCAAAGUUGGAAAAGCCGAUCCUACACUCUUUACUAAAACUAUUGCAAAAUAUUUGUUUGUAUGCCAAAUUUAUGUUGAUGAUAUCAUAUUUGGGCCUACUAACAAAUCUACUUGUGAAGAGUUUAGUAGGAUCAUGAUUCAGAAAUUUGAGAUGUCUAUGAUGGGGGAGUUGAAGUAUUUCCUAGGAUUUCAAGUCAAGCAACUCCAAGAUGGCACCUUCAUCAGCCAAACAAAGUACAUACAAGACAUACUCAACAAAUUUGGAAUGAAGGAUGUUAAGCCCAUCAAGACACCCAUGGGAACUAAUGGGCAUCUCGACCUCGACACGGGAGGUAAAUCCGUAGAUCAAAAGGUAUACCGGUCGAUGAUAGGAUCUUUACUCUAUUUAUGUGCAUCUCGACCGGAUAUUAUGCUUUCUGUAUGCAUGUGUGCAAGGUUCCAAGCCGAUCCUAAGGAAGUUCACCUUAGGGCCGUGAAAAGAAUCAUGAGAUAUUUAGUUUAUACACCUAAGUUUGGACUUUGGUACCCCAAGGGAUCCACUUUUGACUUAAUAGGAUAUUCAGAUGCUGAUUGGGUAGAGUGUAAAUUGAUAGGAAGAGCACAUCAAGGACUUGUCAAUUUCUGGGGAGAUCCCUGGUGUCUUGGGCUUCAAAGAAAUAAAACUCAGUAGCUCUUUCCACCACAGAAGCCGAGUAUAUUGCCGCAAGCCAGUAUUGUUGUGCGCAAUUACUUUGGAUGAGGCAAACCCUCAGGGACUAUGGCUACAAAUUGAGCAAAGUCCCUCUCCUAUGUGACAAUGAGAGUGCAAUCCGCAUGGCGGAUAAUCCCGUUGAACACAGUCGCACUAAGCACAUAGACAUUCGGUAUCACUUUUUAAGGGAUCACAAAAAAAGGGGGAUAUUGAGAUAGCUUAUGUUAGCACCAAAGAACAAUUAGCCGAUAUCUUCACCAAACCAUUAGAUGAGAAAACCUUUACCAAACUUAGGAAUGAGCUAAACAUUCUUGAUUCUCGGAACUUUGAUUAACACUUUGCACACAUAGCUCACUUAUAUACCUUUGAUCAUAUCUCUUUCAUGACUACGACUAAUGUGUUUUCAAGUGUAUUUCUAUGCUAAGUCGUAGAUUGAAAGGGAAAUGGAGUCUUCGACAAAGACAAGGCUUCCACUCCACUCUAAUCGGUAUCAUUUACCCUUCGCCAUCACUCCACAUCACUACUCUUCAAAUUGGUACAAUCUUCACUCAUAUUUACUUGUACUAAUGGGAGAGAAAGUAAAGAGGGCUCUUAAAAGACUCCUUUUUGGCGAUUAAUGCCAAAGGGGGAGAAAUAUUAAGCCCAAAGCAAAAGGACCGCACCACCACCAAUGUCAAAAAUUUCAAGAAUUUUUUUAAAUUGAUAUUUAAAUGAAUUUGAUCUUAAGAGGAGAAUUUUAUUAAGGGGGAGUUUUGUUUAGUCAAAGGAAAAGCAUUUGAACACAGGGGGAGAAAAUUUCAAAUCUUAAAAAUGCUUCUCACAAUCUUAUUCAUAUACCUUUGACUAUUUGCAAAAAGACUCUGAAAAGGUUUUCCAAAAGAAUUUGCAAAAACAAAACAAGUGGUGCAAGCGUGGUCCAAAAUGUUAAAUAAAAGAAAACCAACCAUGCAUAUCUAGUAGAAGUAAAAUAUUGGUUUAAUUUCAAGCAACCUAUGCACUUACCUUAUGCAAACUAGUUCAAAUUUUGCACUUAUAGAUUUGCUUUGGUUUGUGUUGGCAUCAAUCACCAAAAAGGGGGAGAUUGAAAGGGAAAUAGGGUUUAACCUUUUCCUGUAAAUAAUUUUGGUGGUUGAAUGCCCAACACAAAUAAUUAGGCCUAACUGGUUUGCUCUAGAUUAUAUAUUCUACAGGUGCUAAAGGUUCAACACAAACCAAUAAAAAGAUCAAGUUAGGGUUCAAAAGAAAGGAGCAAAAAGAAACCGAAGAGAACCCUGGUCUAGCGCACCGGACUGUCCGAUGCACCACCGGACAGUUUCCGGUGCCCAGGGUCGUACGACUUCAAACUUGCCACCUUCGGGUUUCAAAAGAGCCGCUCCGCUAUAAUUCACCGCGCUGUCCGGUGCACCACCGGACUAUCCGGUGCACCAGCAGAGGAACGGCUAGGCAGCGCAACGGUCGACUCCAACGGUCGUCUGCAACGUGAACAGUGAAGAACAGUGCGCACAAAAUUUAGAGCAGCCGCCAGAGGCGCACCGGACAGUGCACAGUACCUGUCUGGUGCGACACCGGACUGUCCAGUGCCACCAGAAGACAAAGCUCCAACGGUCGAAACCGUCAGAACCCUAACGGUUGGGUGACGUGGCUAGCGCACCGUACACUGUGCGGUGGCGCACCGGACUGUCCGGUGCGCCCAUCGACAGUAGUCUGCCCCAACAGUUGAAUUGGUGGUUGGGGGAUAUAAAUACCCCCAGCCACCUCCACUCCAACCAUCCAAGCAUUCAGUACUCCUCAUUCAAUACAAGAGCAAAAUACAACACUCCAAGACACAAAUCAAAGCCUUUGAUCCAAUCAAAGUCCACAAUUCAACUCUAGUAUUUUAGGACUUGUGAGAAGAUCGUCUUGUGUUCUUUGUUGCUCUUGUUGCUUGGUUGGCUUUCUUCUUUCUCUCAUUCUUACUCUCAAAGUCUUGUAAGCAAAGCAAGAGACACCAAUUGUGUGGUGGUCCUUGCGGGGUCUAAGUGACCCGGAAAAUCAAGGAAGAAAGCUCACUCGGUCUAAGUGACCGUUUGAGAGAGGGAAAGGGUUGAAAGAGACCCGGUCUUUGUGACCACCUCAACGGGGACUAGGUUCUUUGGAACCGAACCUCGGUAAAACAAAUCGCCGUGUCAUCCGCUUUAUUUUCUUGUUUGAUUUGUUUUCCUCUCUCUCCCGGACUUAACUUUUAUUCUAACGCUAACCCCGGCUUGAAGUGUGCUUAAAGUUUGUAAAUUUCAGUUUCCGCCUAUCCACCCCCCUCUAGGCGACUUUCAAAAACCUCCAUUGAUAGUGGUUUGUUUCAUUUUCACAUGUUUCACUAUCUUCUAUUGGCCAUUGAGUUGCAACAUUUUAAUAGUAUGUUAGCCUAUGAAAUAGUGAAGUGAAAUAUUGUAUUGAGAGUCAUUGUUUCAUUCAUAAUUUCAUAGCACUUUUGACGAUGUGGCAGCGUUGAAAAGAGUGAUACAAAAGGCCCCUUUGGUAGGGAUCCUUUAAGGGCUCUUUCAACGACUUCUUGAAAAAAUCUACCAACAAACGGGAGGCUCUUUGAUGGGCUCUUUCUAGAAAAGAGGGAGUAGCUUCUCCAAAAAAAAACUAGCAGGAGCCGGGAGCUAGAAAAAGGAGCUUCUAUUGGCUCGUCUCCUAUGUUUUUCUCUUUGUCGAUGCUACAUCUUAGAAGAAGUUGCAGAAGGAGCUAUAUUUCCACUAAACAGGGUACUCUUUUUAGAGUUCUUCAUAAAAAUAAGGAGAAAUUUGUUUUCUUAGAGAAGCGAGAGCCAGGGUUGAAGCUGGCAGAAGAAGAGCCCUACUAAACGGGCCCUUAAUUCUCAUUGAGAUUGAGAAUAGGCUAAUGGUGGACGGCUGGGCACCUCCUCGGUUAUUUAUUUAUGGUAUAUAAUCGCAAACUUACAUUUUUGCAUUCAUUGAUUUCUUCAAAUCUACCUUGGCCAACGUUUGUGUAUUUGUAUCUCUAUUACUGUACCCUAUAUAAUCCACCAGUUAGGGCAUGUACAACCCUAAGCCUUUGGAAUGGUUUCUAAAUACAAGAGACAGCUAAAGACUACAUGAUACAACCCUGACAUUCGAUUUUAUUUUUCACUUAGCCCUCUAAAGACCCUUUAAAAACGCCUCAUUUAAUUGGGUUGUAUAUGCCUUUAAAACAUUAUGAAGUACACAUCAUAAAUUACCCCAUCACUAAAAUCACUUCAUUUACCUCAUCUCUCUUAAUCAAUCACAACCAAUACUUAGUAUUCUUUGGAUCAUCUCUCAUCCUUCAUUUGCCUCUAGCCACCCAGCCCUGCCAAUUCCCUAGCCCCCUUGAUCACCCUCACACGCCUCGCCUAGACGAUCAACACCGCCAUCGCCCCCAGCCCCGUGCUCGCCUCGCAUGGACGAACACCGGUGCCCUGUCGCUACCCCGCACCCCCAUACGAUCUCCCUCAAUGAUGGCAAUGAUGGUGGUUGCACGGGAACUCCGUGGCCCAAGACGAGUCUACGCCAGAUCCACAAUGUGUGUGCCAAGGCGGUGACGCACGGGAGCUCCAUGACCCACAUGGAGUCGACGUGAGCCACGUGGACGCGACGGUGGCGCUAGGUGGCCAAGCGGGAGUAGAUGGGCUAGGUGGCAUACUAGGCUACAUGUGAUGUACCAGAUGGCGCGACCCUCCUGCUACUCUCCCCCGAUCGUCCGACUUCGAGCGUGAUAGAUAGCCGGAGGUUGUGGAUCUGUGAUGGAGCGGUCCAGCAUCGGGGAACAUGGUUGGACGUGGAGGCAGUGGAGAGGGCGCCAUCAUCAUGAAGCGAUCUCUGAUCGUGAUGAUGAAGAGGAUAUGAUCGCUUGUGAUGGUGUGGGGGCGAGAAAAAACGAUGCUGAAAUCCUCAAUACAAGAAAUUGUUUCUUCGGCGUCGAGAAUAACGCGAGGACGACAGCACAACAAGCAUCUCCCCUAGUGGGCGGUGGGGGUGCGCUAGCUCUCCACUGAGAUGCGCGAGGACUGCGACAUGACGACCACCUCCCCCAACGGUCAUUUUAUUAGUAUUAGAAAGCAAUUGAAGUUCUACGAGUAGAAAAUGGGUUGGGGAAGCGAUUUUGCCAUUGCUGAUUAAGGUCAAAGCUAUAAAAUUGGAAAAAUUAUGGAUCGAUUGAUCGGGUAUUUAUAAACUUUAACUAACCAACUAACUAUUAUAGUAACUAUGGAAAAUUCUCUAUUGAGUAGUUUAUGUGAUUAUGAUAAUCUGACCUCAAGAUUAUAUAAUCUAGUUUAAUAAUCUGACUGUUUGUUCCUAUCUAGUAUGAUGUUUGGUUCUCUAUAGAUUUUAAGAAGUGCACAAAAUAUAAUACACAUCACAUUAUCAAGUUUUGUUGGUAUUGCGAGACUGACACAAAAUCCAAUCCAAAAUUCAAAAAUUGUUUGGCUAAUAAUGAGACGACACUGCAAAGGUGCACGGCACCAACCUCUUGGGAUUCCUACGCAACAACUCUACCUUGUUUUAUCACAAAUGACAUCCCAUACUUCCUAAUUAUCACAUGUGAACCCAUUGCAAUGUAACGUUGCUUUUCAACGAAGGCACCGUCAUCUCAUCCAAAGUGAGGGAAUUUUGGCAUAUGGUUGAAUCAUGGUAAACCAAGACCGGCACAGCUUGUUACUGGUAGGAUGAUAUGCUUCUCACUUUUGAGUUUCGACUUCCCUCAUAAAGAACAUUCAUUCCUGUUGAUGAAUAAUUUCGCAACGUGUAAAUAUAGCCGAAAGACACUCAAAGUUGAUGCUUUCUGAUCAAGCAAACCUUUGAUAUUCGAACUGUAAUAUUUUUAUGACAAUAUUGGCUUGAGAGCUUAGAUAUGUAACUCCGUCAUGUUCAUUCUUGUUCUUGUUACAUAUCGAAGGAAAAGAAAUGGCAAGAAAAUCAUAGAGCAAAUGCAAAAUGCAUUAAAACUCUCCUUUUUUUUCCGUAAAAGAGAGAGAAGUCCCAAAGAACAGGUUGAUUGGCGAUGAGCAGUGGGAUGGAUACGGUGGGGGUCGGGAUGGAAGCUGGCGUCGUGGGUGACCGUGCAAUACAUCCAAAAUAGGAGGAGUGACGUGGGAAAGCUCCCCGCGUCCUCCUCUUCCUUUCCUCCUCUCGUCGUCCAGGGAAGGAUGCAGGAUGCUCUCCGUCCCUCCCCCACCACCUGAGGAGGAAAGCAAGAAAUUUUUAACCAACCAAACGCACCACCGCGUGCCUCCGUGAUUCCCAGCCCAAUUAACCCGGAACAGAAGAGAAGAGCUCGCCACGCCACCGGUGGGAUCGCCGGACACCUACGCGGGCCUGGCCUUGGGAUCCCCGGAACGCGGGGCGUGGGAAACCGAGGAGGAGCAUGUCGCGGGUGGCGUCGCUGUCGCCGUCCUUGUCGGGCGACGAGGUGGAGGUGGAGGAGGAAGAGGAGGACGAGGGCGUCGACGGCUACCGCAAGGGCGGCUACCACGCCGUCCGCCCCGGGGACCAGUUCGCCGCCGGCCGCUACGUCGCCCAGCGGAAGCUCGGCUGGGGCAACUUCUCCACCGUCUGGCUCGCCUUCGACGUCCAGUCACAGGUAGGCGCGCCCUCGCUCUGGCCUCUUCCGCAUGAGAUCACGGCAUCUCCCCGCUUCCCGCGCGGCGAUCCCUCCGCUCCGCUUCGUAAUGCGAUUGCCCGCCUAGAUCUUGCGCUUUGUCGAUUAGCGGGGCACCGAUAGAUCGCUUGAUCGGAUCGCAAGUACCGCUGGCGCCUCGUGCGGUUGGCUGGCGCGCGCCUGGCCUGCCCUGACCUAGGACCCCACUCGAGGUCGAGGGGAAUGGGUGUGGGAUUGGGAUUGGGAUUGCGACGGGGCUGUCGGAUACUCCCUCGGAUUUUAUAGGCUUCGUUUCACUAGAGUAUGGAUUCGGUUUGUCGUUUCUUUCCUCAUUUGGGAGUUCGGUUCAUCCGUUUGCCGCUCCCAUGGGAAAGCCUUUACUCUUCCGUCACCUAGCAACCAGAUGGGUUCAGGUCUUACGCGCUCGAGGGAAACUAUGCCAAAUCGAAGUUUUCAUUUAUUUUCUAAGAGUACAAUUGCAAAAAUAAAUUCAUUUGCCAGUACCGGAGGCAAACUCUUUUAAUGCCCCUCUUUUCUCAUAUUAAUGUGGCUUAUUACGUUUAGCUACAACCAUGAUUAUAAUUAUUGCUCUGGAUGAAUAGAGUUGUGAAAUUGAUAAAAAACAACAACUGAACAUUGUUUUUACAAAUGGUACUCCUUUCUGCAGAGAUACGUGGCCCUGAAGAUCCAAAAGAGUGCGCCUGAGUUUGCGCAAGCUGCUCUUCAUGAAAUCGAGUUCCUGUCAGAGAUCACCAAGAAGGACCCAUUGAACUGCAAAUGCAUUAUUCAGCUGAUAGAUCACUUCAAGCACACGGGGCCUAACGGACAGCAUAUCUGCCUCGUCUUUGAGUUACUGGGAGAUAGCUUGCUUAAGCUGGUACAGUACAACCGGUACAAAGGCAUCGGGCUUGAUAGGGUGAGGCAAAUAUGCAAGUCGAUCUUGGUAGGUCUUGACUACUUGCACAAUGAGCUUGGCAUCAUCCACUCAGAUUUGAAGCUCGAGAACCUUCUCCUUCUCUCGACCAUUGAUCCCUCCAAGGACCCCAUUCGCUCUGGCCUCAAACCUUGCCUUGAGAGGCCUGAGGGAAACCCUAACGGUGAAGCUGGGAUUAAUGCGAUUGAGAAUAAGCUAAAGAUGAGAGCAAGGAGGGUGCUUGCAAAGCUUGCUGAGAAAAGAAAAUCAGCUGUGGAAUCUUCACGCUCAGAAAGGAGCUUGGGUGGAAUUGAUCUUACAUGCAAGAUUGUAGACUUUGGGAAUGCUUGCUGGGCCGACAAACAAUUUACAGAUUUUAUUCAGACAAGGCAGUACCGGGCACCAGAGGUCAUUCUAGGUGCAGGAUACUCGUUUUCUGUUGACAUGUGGUCAUUUGCGUGUAUCGCUUUUGAGCUCGCAACCGGAGAAAUGCUAUUUACACCCAAGGAAGGCCAUGGAUACAGUGAAGAUGAGGUAUAUAUCGCAUUCCUCAUGAGCCUAGCUAUUUUGUUCAUCUUUGAGUUGGCUUCAAUUAUGCAGUGCAUGCCCACAAUCCCAUUAUAGACUGAUCCGAUUUAAUGAAGUGAAAAAGUAAGCACUGACAUGGACACACAUUGUAUGUUAUCCGUAAGAUGAAGUAUGUCUAAACUCAGAAAACAACCAUAGUCAACAUGAAUAUGCUUAGCACUAGAAUUUGGAGCUGUACAAAAAAACAAAAAAACCCUCCAUUACUCCUGUAAUUCUGUUUACCUUGAAGAGCUACAGCAAAUAAUAUUUGCACCCAAAAAAAAUAUCAUGGGAAUGGUUUUCAUUUCAGCCUUCAAGAUUAAAAACUGCUAUUGUUCUCAACUUUGAAUAUUACAAUAGUCUGAAAUGCCAGUUCCAAUACAGACAUUGAAAUUUCGGUUAAUUUGGCAUCUUGGCAUUAUCAUGAAAGCUAAGCCUUGCAAACUCUAG
rnacentral:lncRNA from 1 species